rnacentral:lncRNA from 1 species
CGCUGCUGACCUCUGCCGCACUGACUGCGAAGGUCGCCGCACUGAAGCAGGACCUCGAGGGGUCCGAGAAAGAGCUCAUCCUUGCUAAGAGGCAGCUCGAGGAGAACAAAGGUAAGUAAUACCUAGUCUAUAGAUAUGUAUAUAUACAAAAAGGAUGCGAUUGCAAAAUGACAGGAUCAUCUUUAAUUUGCCAGGGGCCAUGACUGAAGUGGCAACCCUGAAGCAAGCGCUAUCCGAGGCCGAAAACAAAGCGGCCCAGGAGCGCACCGAGCGGGAAAAACAAGAGGCACGGGUGGGUGAGGUGAAGCAAGAGCUCCACGCUCUCGUGACGAAGCACGAGGCAUUGGAGCUUGACUUGAAGACGCGAGAGUCCGAGCUUGCCGCGGCCCUUGAGAGUGCAAAGAGUGCCAAGGCUGGAGCCCAAAAGGCCCUCUAGGAGAUUGAUGCGAUGAAGAAGAUAGCGGCGGGUAAGGCAUUCAAUAUGCAAAGCAAGCAUGUGAAAGUAAAUUACUUGUUACUUACAUGAGUUCGGAGCUCUCCAGGAGCAUUCGCAGAUUUGCCCCGCAGCGUGUCGGAUGCCGCACAGUUUUACCAGGCCGAGGAGGGAAGCUCAACGGAGAAGCUGUUCUAGUCUCAGUAUACUGGGACCGAACACCUGAUGCCUCUGAGCGACCAGCUGAAGCAACUGGUCGAGCUACACAAGGCGGCCGAACAGGCCAUGAAGGGCUUUAUAGUCCGGAUGUGGCCUGGCGACGCCCUUCCCAAUAGCUACUUCGGCCUGGUGAGGCGGCUUGUGGAUGCCUGCCCACGGCUGGAAGUCAUCAAGCGGUCCGUCUGCAUCGAAGGUGCACGCCAGGCUUUCGCCCGUGCGAAGGUGCACUGGGCCAAGAUGGACGCCGUGAAGCUGGUGAAGAAAGGGCCACCACAGAGCAAGGAGCAUCGCCACCCCGAGAUGUACUAUGUGGGUGUCCUGAAGGGUGCCCGUCUUGUAGCGGACGAGUGUGCGAAAGAUGUAAUAUUUGAAUAAACUUGCUCGUGUAAUCCUGUAUUAUGAAAACUUGUUCAUAUGCGCUAUGCAACGCUUGUUUGAAUUAAAAAUAUUACCUUCUGUUUGGCUGUUUAUCAAAUCUGAGAGAUGGCUAGUCGUCGGCUUCUGCCCCCACGCCACGAGUGUUGGGGUGUUCGGGAUAAACCUGAGCAUUCUUGUUCCCAUUUUUGGGUCCUUCGAGGGAGGAGCUCGGCACAACGAACAAGGCAACCAGACUAUAAUGCGUUAUCACUCUCACUUAGCCAUAGAAUUCUAUAAUUUUAAAUUUCGGCGAAGCCCCUAGUAUUCGGAAGGCCGAAUUCGGGGCGCUAUACACGCCUUAAAGCCGGACAGGGCCGACUCCUCGCUCUAAGUGGCAUAAGUAUUUAGGGACUUGAAACCUCUCGAACAGCGACCAGUCUCUCGCCUUAUCAUGACAGUCAGUUUUAGCUUUCUCUACUGAGGUGCUUAGCCCAGCAGAACCGGGGCACAAUCGCAGUAGUUCUCCCAGUGCUACCUUAGCCGAUAUAGCAGAACAUAAGGUACCAAAACAUGGGAGCCGGGCAAACCCAACUAUUGACCCAAGACAUGAUUCAGAGCUAAUGCAUAUAAUGCUGUAAGUUCGGGGUGCCGCACUGUCGAAAGUGUUCGGACUUCUCACGCCAUAUUAUGGGGUAUGCCUAAGCCCCUAGUGUGUUGGCCGUACCAGAGUGUACGGGUGCUAGAUGUCAUGAAUGAACAUAUAUAUAUAUAUAAAGGAAGAAUGCAAUAAUAGUCUUAAUGCUAUGCAUUGUUUAUUCAAAAAGGUGCGUUAAAGCAGAAUGAUACAAGUAGUGCGAUAAGCAAAAAGUAGGACUGUUUGACAUGUCCCUUCCAAGGGCAAGCUGAGGAAUAGUAUUAAAGCAAGUAUUUCACUCGUUAUCGUAAUCCACCUGGGAGUUCCAUGGUGUGACGUAGCUUUCUGCCUCCUUGGUUGCUGCAUCAUGUGUUUGGCAAUCAUGCUGCCGGAUAGGGCUUCCAGAGAUUAAAGUCCUGAAAGAGAAAAAUAACAAUGCGGGAAGCCCCUAGUGCGGUUUAAGCCGCGUCUUGGAGCAUGCCAUAGUCGUGCCCCCCUCCACACAUGUGCCCAUGGUAUUUUUAAUGCGUAAUUAUGUACGCAUGGCACGGAUUUCGCCAUUUGGCUGCGACCGGGGUGGGGGCCGCAUUGCUAUGCGAGCUCGGGACGUGCCAGGCGGUCCUGUUGCCGAUUACUCCGGGCGCGCUUGAAGGUGUCCGGGUCCUUAAUCGCCAAACUAGUAGAUUGCCUUAAGAGGCUACUUUGCGCUUUUGCUGCGAGGGCCGCAGUGUGCUCCUCCGUGCGGAGAGAGCGCUCCGUGUUUCCAUUGACUGUGAUGACCCCCCGAGGUCCUGGCAUCUUGAGCUUGAGAUAUGCAUAAUGCGGUAGCGCAUUGAAUCUCGCAAAUGCGGUUCGCCCGAGCAGUGCAUGGUAGCCACUGCGGAACGGGACUAUGUCAAAGAUUAACUCUUUGCUUCGGAAGUUAUCCGGGGAUCCGAAGGCCACUUCCAGUGUGACUGAGCCUGUGCAAUGGGCCUCUAGACCAGGUAUGAUGCCUUUAAAGGUCGUUUUUGUGGGUUUGAUCCUUCAGGGGUCUAUACCCAUUUUGCGCACUGUGUCCUGAUAAAGCAGGUUCAGGCUGCUGCCGCCAUCCAUAAGGACUCGAGUGAGGUGAAAUCCGUCGAUGAUUGGGUCUAGGACCAGUGCGGCGAAUCCGCCAUGACGGAUACUAGUGGGGUGGUCCCUACGAUCGAAGGUGAUCGAACAGGAGGACCAUGGGUUGAACUUUGGGGCGACUGGCUCCAACGCAUAUACGUCCCUGAGCGCACGCUUCUACUCCCUCUUGUGGAUAUGGGUUGCGUUUACCAUGUUCACUGUCUGCACUUGUGGGGGAACCUCUUUUGUCCUCCGGUGUUCGGCUGUCGGGGCUCCUCCUCGUCAUCGCUAUGUGACCCCUUAUCUUUGUUUUCGGCAUUUAACUUGUCGGCCUGCUUGAACACCCAACAAUCCUUGUUGGUGUGGUUGGCUAGCUUGUUGGGGGUGCCGUGUAUUUGACACGAGCGAUCGAGUAUACGGUCCAAACUGGACGGGCCCGGAGUGUUUCUUUUGAAUGGCUUUUUCCGCUGAUCGGGUUUAGAGCCUUUGAAUCCGGCAUUGACUGUCGUAUCCUCAGUAUUGUCGCUGUUAAUGCGGCGCUUAUGUUUGUUGCGACGUGACCUGCCGUUGCCGUCCUUGGUAUCCGAAGUACCAUGGUUCUUUGAUAUGUUAUUGUUACGAGCCAACCAGCUGUCCUCUCCCACACAAAAGCGGGUCAUGAGUGUUGUGAGGGCUGCCAUAUAUUUCGGCUUUUCCUGGCCAAGGUGCCGGGCGAGCCAUUCGUCGCGGAUGUUGUGCUUAAAAGCUGCUAGGGCCUCUGCAUCCGGACAAUCGACGAUUUGAUUUUUCUUUGUUAGGAACCAUGUUCAGAAUUGCCUGGCCGAUUCCUCUGGUUGCUAAAUUAUGUGGCUCAAGUCAUCGGCAUCUGGUGGUCGCACAUAAGUGCCCUGAAAGUUGUCAAGGAAUGUGGCUUCCAGAUCUUCCCAACAGCCAAUGGACUCUGCUGGCAAGCUGUUGAGUCAAUGCCGAGCUGGUCCUUUGAGUUUGAGUGGGAGGUAUUUGAUGGCGUGUAGGUCAUCACCGCGGGCCAUGUGGAUGUGUAGGAGGAAAUCCUCGAUCCAUACCGCAGGAUCUGUUGUGCCAUCGUAUGAUUCUAUAUUUACGAGUUUGAAACCCUCUGGGAUUUGAUGAUCCAUUACUUCGUCUGUGAAGCAUAAGGGGUGUGCGGCGCCUCUGUACUGGGCUAUAUCGCGAAGCAGCUCAAAUGAGUCUUGCCCGCUGUGUUCGGCCCGGCCGGACUUACUUUUACUAUAUCCGGCGUGACGAUUAUCGUCUCGCAUAGUGGCGCUCCCUCGUGAUCCGUAGAUCGAUCUUGCAUGUUUUGCUUUGUCCUCCAAUACGUCUCGCAGGUCUGGCGUAUUUCCCCAUGCCUUUUUAUUUGAAUGGCGUCGGGUUGCGGGCUGAGCUUUUGGCUGGAAUGCCUCUCUGUCGCGGCCACGAGGUGGCCGAUCAGCCGCGUCAUACGCCGGGGAUGUAGGUUUCGGUGCUUCCUCCUCCAGUCGGGGUAGCAACCUGCACUUUGGGUAACUCUUGGAGGGGCAUUCGAGUUUAUAUUCCUCGGCCGCCAGGACUUCAGUCCAUCUGUCAGCUAGCAAAUCUUGAUCAGCUUGAAGCUGCUGCUGCUUUUUCUUAAGGCUAUUUGCCAUGGCUAUAAGCCGGCGCUUGAAGCGCUCUUGUUUGACGGGAUCCUCUGGCACAACGAAUUCUUCAUUGUCAAGGCUUGCCUCGUCUUCGGAGGGAGGCAUGUAAUUAUCAUCCUCCGCCUCUCCAUCUGCCAUUCUCUCAGGAGGGCUGGCUUCUCCAUCCUCCUGCUCUAAAUCUUGCUAGAGGGGACUGUUGUUGUCUUCGGCACUGUCCGGAGUGCUAUUAUCUCCGGUGCCGAUAUCACCGCUUUUGCCUUGGUGGGACUUAGAGUGGCGCCGCUGACGCCGGCGCUUGGUUGCUUCUUGGAGGGGUCAUCCUCCGUUGUCCCGUCGCCAUUGCCUUCUUUGGGUGUGUCCACCAUGUAUAUGGCAUAUGAUGAGGUGGCUGUCUAGUGCCCUGUGGGCAGUGGUUCCUCUUCGCCUCCCGCAUCGUUGUCCAUACCAUCGAUGUCUUCGGAGUCGAAGUCGAGCAUGUCGGUUAAGUCAUCGACAGUGGCUACUAAGUGGGUGGUGGGUGGGCGGCAAAUUUCUUCAUCAUCCGCAUCCCAAUCCUGCCGGACGUAGUUCGGCCAGGACUCUCCUGACAAGGAGAGAGACCUUAAUGAGUUCAGUAUGUCGCCAAAGGGCGAGUGCUGAAAAUAUCCGCGGAGGUAAACUCCAUGAUCGGCGCCCGGCCGGAUUCGGUAGGCAUGGGCACAGGCGGUUCGGAGUCCGUGGUCGGAGAAGGAUCCGACAGUUUGGCAACACGGCUCUCAUGAAAGGUAAGGUCGAUAUUCGGCUCGAUCGCCGCUAAGGGUAUGGCUUCUGUGGCGGGGUCUAUCCACCCGUCCAUGGAUGGCGCGACUGGUUCCGAAUUGAGGGUCGGAGUGGUUGCCGGUGCGAUCUUCUGAACACUGUCCGAUGGUAGAGCUAAAUCGUACUCAUCGUGGUCAUGUGGCGCACAAGGCAGGGGCUCGGAUCCGUCGAAGAUCAAGUCUUCGCGGAUAUCGGCCAUGUAGUUUAAGCUUCCAAACCUGACCUGGUGGCCAAGGGCGUAACUUUCAAUCUGCUCCAGAUGGCCAAGCGAGUUGGCCCGCAGUGCGAAGCCGCCGAAUAUGAAGAUCUGUCCAGGGAGAAAAGUCUCACCCUGGACUGCAUCGCUAUCGAUGAUUGAAGGAGCCAUCAAGCCUAAUGGCAAUGACACAGAGGAACUCUCAAUGAAAGCACCAAUGUUGGUGUCAAAACCGGCGGAUCUCGGGUAGGGGGUCCCAAACUGUGCGUCUAAGGCGGAUGGUAAUAGGAGGCAGGGGACACGAUGUUUUACCCAGGUUCGGGCCCUCUUGAUGGAGGUAAAACCCUACGUCCUGCUUGAUUUAUUCUUGAUGAUAUGAGUAUUACAAGAGUUGAUCUACCACGAGAUCGGAGAGGCUAAACCCUAAAAUCUAGCCUAUGGUAUGAUUGUAUGUUGUCCUAUGGACUAAAACCCUCCGGUUUAUAUAGACACCGGAGGGGGUUAGGGUUACACAAGGUCGGUUACAAAGGAGGAGAUAUCCAUAUCCGUACUGCCUAGCUUGCCUUCCACGCCAAGUAGAGUCCCAUCCGGACACGAGACGAAGUCUUCAAUCUUGUAUCUUCAUAGUCCAACAGUCCAGCCACAGGAUAUAGCCGGCUGUCCGGAGACCCCCUAAUCCAGGACUCCCUCACCAGGCCUGGAGACGCGGGCAAUCCUAAACGGGCCCUCCCGCAUGGGUGAGAGCUUAUGCAACCCUUCCCUAGAGAGCACCCGCCUCAGCGCGAGAUCACCCACCUCGAGCGUCCUAGAGCGGAUGCUGCGGCAGUGGUACCGCCGCAGCGCCUGCUGGUACCUUGCCGCACGGAAUGAGGCUUGGCAGCGGCGUUCCUCCCCCGGCACGAGGUCCAUCCCCCGCAUGGCGUCCUGACGCGCCUCGUCGAACGCCAGGACCCACGCGGAGCAAUGCUUGACCUUGUGAGGGAGAACCGCUUCAGCUCCAUAGACGAGGAAGAACGGAGUCUCGCCCAUUGUCUUGGUGGCGAUGGUGCGGAUGGACCACAGCAUAGAUUGGAGCUUGUCGUGUCAUCCCCUGCCGCAGGCCUCGAGCUUCCUCUUGAAGGUCCUUGUCUUGAGGCCUCUCAGGACCUCCGCAUUGGCGCGCUCAGCUUGGCCAUUGCUUCUGGGGUGCACCACCAAGGCGUAGCAUAUCUGCGUUCCAAGAUAUCUGAAGUGAUUGCUAGUGAACUAUGAGCCGUUGUUGGUGAUGAUGUGAUUAGGGACUUCGAACCGGCUCACGAGGCCCUUGAUGAGCUUGACGGCAGAGCCGGCUAGGAUGGUGCAGACGGCUUCCACCUUCGCCCACUUGGUGAACUUGUCAAUGGCAACGUAAAGGUAGCGGUAGCCCCCAGGUGCUCAAGGGAAUGGACCCAGGAUAUCCAGCCCCCAGACCGCAAACGACCACGAGAGUGGGAUGGUCUGGAGGCCCUGAGCAGGCUGGUGGAUUUGCUUGGCAUGGAACUGGCAGGCCUCGCAGGAUUUCACCAGCUCGGUUGCGUCGCUGAGUGUCGUGGGCUAGUAGAAUCCGCUACGGAAUGCCUUGCCCACCAAGGUGCGCGACGACAAAUGAUGCCUGCAGUUUCCGCCGUGUAUGUCAGCUAAUAGUUCAUUCCCCUGCUCCCUGGAGAUGCAUUGCAAGAAAACAUCAUUCGGUUGCUUUCGGUAUAGCUCACCAUCCCGGAUGUAGUAAGUUGUAGCCUGCCGAGCUAUGCGCUCCGUGUCCUCCUCCUCCGGCAGGGCCUCUUGCAGCAUGUACACCUCAAAUUCUUCAGUCCAGCACCCCUCCUGGGGUUCAAGUGCGAGGAGCAGGCGCGCUCCUGAGGUCAGGCCGCAGGCGGGAGCUCCUGAGGUUGGUGGCGGGAGGAGCUCCUCCUGAGGUGGCAUAGGCUCCGUAGCCGGAGGGGCCGCUAAAGGCUUGAAGAGCCGCUCCUCGAAGACGAACUGCUAGUCCAGCUCCAGAAUUGGUCGGUUCUGCUGAAUGGAGACCGGCGGCUUAAUGGCCGACAAGGUAUGCGGUUUAAUAAGACCACUUUGUACUCCGACUGAAGGAAACAUAGCAUGAUCCUCCAUCUGGAGGGAGUGCUUCUCACGCUCCCCUGUAGGGGUGUGUGUCACGUAUACCAUGUUCACUAUUUUUACCUCAGGGGGAAAUUGCUUCUGAACCCCGGUAUUAGGUUGGUGAGUUUCUUCGUCAUUGCUAUCACUAGGCGGCCUCUUCCCCUUGUGUUCGGUGUUGAGCUUGUCGGCCUGCUUGAAGACCCAACAGCUUCUGUUGGUGUGAUUAGCUGGUUUAUCGGGGUUGCCAUGAAUCUGGCUGGGCCGAUCCAAUAUCUUGUCUAAAUUGGAUGAUCCUUCUUUGUUUGCCUUGAAUGGCUUUUUCCAUUGACCGGGUUUGGAUCCACUGAAUCCAGCAUGGACCGAUGUGUCGUGCAUUCUUUCUUUAUCAUUACGACGUUUGUGUUUGCUCCAUCGUGGUUUUCCAUUGCCAUCUCGGACUUCGGAAGUUCCCGGAUCACUGGCGCUGUUGCUUCUAUGAGCGAGCCAGCUGUCUUCUCCUGCGCAAAAGCGGGUCAUUAGAGCGGUAAGGGCUGACAUGGAUUUUGUUUUUUCUUGACCGAUGUGGCGGGCGAGCCACUUGUCCCGGAUGUGUGUUUGAAGGCCGCUAGGGCUUCCGUGUCCGGACAGUCGACGAUUUGGUUAUUUUUAACUAAGAACCUACUCCAGAGCUUCCUGGCUAACUCUCUGGGCUGUUGAACUAUAUGGCUUAAGUUAUCGGCGUCUGGUGCCCGGACAUAUGUACCUUGGAAGUUGUCGUGGAAGGCGUCUUCCAAAUCCUCCUAGCUGCCAAUAGAGUUUUCGGGCUGACUGUUUAACCAGUGUCGAGCUGGACCUUUGAGUUUUAAUGAGAGGUAUUUGAUGGCAUGAAGGUCAUCUCCGCGAGCCAUGUGGAUAUGGAGAAGGAAAUCCUCAAUCCAUACCACGGGAUCAGUUGUUCCAUCAUAUGAUUCGAUAUUCAUGAGUUUAAACUCUUCUGGGAAUUCGUGCUCCGUUACUUCGUCUGUGAAGAAAAGAGGGUGUGCGGCGCCUCUAGUUGGGCCACAUUGUGACGUAGUUCCGAUGGAGUCCGUCUACGGUUUUCGGCCCGGGUGUGACUGGGUUUGUCACGUCCGAAUAGAUAGCCUUCGUCACGUCCUUGCGAUUUGUAGAUCGAUCUGGUAUGUCCUGCUCUAUUGUUCAGGUCCUGUCGAAGGUCAUAUGUGUGACCACAAGCUGUGUUGUCUCUGCCUUUACGGUGAGGUGGGGUGGGCUGGUGUUCGGCUUGAGUUGCCGCUUUGUCCCGACCGCAUGGUGGUCGAUUAGCCGCAUUGUGCGGUGAUGGUAUGGGCUCCGGCGCCUCGUCAUCGAACUGAGGUAGCAAUUUGCGCUUUGGGUAAAUUUUGGCUGGGCACUUGAGGCCAUAUUGUUCGGCUGCUAGGACAUCAGUCCAUCUAUCAUUGAGCAGAUCUUGGUCAGCUUGAAUCUGUUGUUGUUUCUUUUUCAGGCUCCUUGCAGUGGCUAUUAGCCGGCGCUUAAAGCGCUCCUGCUCCUGAGGUUCCUCAGGCACGGUAAAAUCCUCGCUGCCGAGGCUCGCCUCAUCCUCGGAGAGCGCAACAUAAUUAUUGUCCUCCGAGUCUUCGUGUGUGGCCUGUUUACCAGGGCUAACUGGCCCAUCUUCCCGUUCAUCCUGUUCAGCAGUUGCAUCAACGGGGUCUUCGUUGUCUUCGGCACCUUCUGGAGUGUUAUCUUCUCCUGUGCCGGUGUUGUUGUCUUUGCUGCGGCGUGACUUAGAGCGGCACCGCUGACGCCGUUGAUAUGAUUGUAUCUCGGGAGGUUUAUCCUCAACUUGAUCUUCCUUGUCAUCGCCGCUAUUCUCUUUUGGUGCAUCCACCAUGUAUACAUCAUACGAGGAAGUGGCCGUCCAGCGUCUGGUAAACGGCGUAUUUUGAGCCUCUUCUUCUCCGGCCUCCUCAUCCAUACAGUCAAUGUCGUCGGAGACGUAAUCAAGCAUGCCAGUUAAGUCUUCGACAGUGGCUACGAAGUGGGCGGUGGGUGGGAAGCGAAAUUCUCCGUCAUCAGCCUCCGGUUCAAAGCGGAUACAAUUUGGUUGUGGGCCCCCCGCUAAGGAUAGUGCUCUUAAUGAGUUUAACACGUCGCCCAAGGGAGAGUGUCGGAAGAUGUCCACGGAGCUGAAUUCGACGAUCGAUGAUUGAUAAAGCUCGACGUGCACGGACGCACAAGGUUUGGAGCCUGUAGCCGGAGACGAGUCCAUGGUUCCGGUGACAUAGAUGUCACUUGAAGUUAAGUUUGUGUGCGGCUCCAACGUCACUGAGUCUGCGGCUUCCGCGGCGGGGUUGAGCUUCCCAUCUUCGGAUGGCAUGAUCUGCUCCAGAUCUAGGGCCAGAGCAGCUACAAGUACUAUCUCCUGCGUAUGGACCGAUGACAGAUUUACGUCAUGUUCAUCAUGGUGGCAGGGAGCGGCUGCCGUGGUCUCAAAUCCGUCGAAGAUCAAGUCUCCACGGAUAUCCGUGACGUAGUUCAAGCUUCCAAAUCUGACCUGGUGGCCAAGGGCGUAGCUUUUGACCUGCUCUAGAUGGCCAAGCGAGUUGGCCCGCAGUGCAAAGCCGCCGAACACGAAGAUCUGUCCGGGGAGGAAGACUUCCCCUUGGACAGCGUAGUUGUAGAUGAUUGAAGGAGCCAUCAAACCUUUUGAUGACAGCAUAGUGGAACUCUCAAUGAAAGCACCAAUGUCGGUGUCAAAACCGGCAGAUCUCGGGUAGGGGGUCUCGAACUGUGCGUCUAAGGUCGAUGGUAACAGGAGACGGGGGACACAAUGUUUACCCGGGUUGGGGCCCUCUCUAUGGAGGUAAUACCCUACUUCCUGCUUGAUUGAUCUUGAUGAAUAUGAGUGUUACAAGAGUUAAUCUACCACAAGAUCGUAAUGGCUAAACCCUAAAAGUCUAGCCUGUCUGACUAUGAUUAUGAGGAUAUAUCUACAGACCUAGCCCUCCGGUUUAUAUAGACACAGGAGGGAUCUAGGGUUACAUAAGGUCGGUUACAAAGAAAGGAAUCUUCGUAUUUGGUCGCCAAGCUUGCCUUCCACGCCAAGGAGAGUCCCAUCCGGACACGGGUAGAGUCUUCGGCCUUUGUAUCUUCACAGCCCAUCAGUCCGACCCAUGUCUAAUAGGUCAGACGCCCGAGGACCCCUUAGUCCAGGACUCCCUGACCGGGCUCCUGGGGCUGACGCCUUGAUGCCCUCUUGGUGAUAUCAUCAGCUUCCUUGUUUGUGCCGCGUGGCACAUGCUACCGUUCUAGGCCCAAGAGUUGCUUCUCCAUUUUGCGUACCUCCGCGAGGUACACCUCCAUGUGCUCGUUCUUCGGCUCAUACACCUUGUUGGAAAAGUUGACGAGGAGUUGGGAGUCGCCCUUGAUGGUGAGGCGCUUCACACCUAGGGCCACCGCAGCCUUAAGGACGGUGAUCAACCCUUUGUUUUCCGUGAUGUUGUUGGAGACCUUCUCGCCCCGCUGGAAGCAGAUCUGCACUGCGUAGUAGAGCUUGUCCUGGGUGGGCGAAAUGAGCACAGCUCCAGCCCCCGCGCCCUGGCACACAAAGGCGCCAUCGAAGUAUAUGACCCAAUCGUCUAGUGCUUCGCUCCCCGGCGAGAGAGACUGAUCCUCGCCUGCUUCGGGCCCUAGAGCAUCAGUCCAUUCCGCCACAAAGUCAGCGAGCGCGGCUCCCUUGAUGACCCUGGUGGUGCUGAACUCCAGCUGGAAGGCCUGCGGCUCGAUGUUCCACUCAGCGACCCUCCCCGCUGCGUUGGGGCUUCGAAGUACCCUCUCCAGCGCGUAAGCUGACAUGACCUUGAUGGGGUGGCCUUGAAAGUAGUGGCGUAACAUGCGCGAGGCCACGAGGAGCACCAGCAGAAGCUUCUGCGGCAUGGGGUAGCGUGCCCGCGCGUCUCACAACACCGUGUUGACGAAGUACACCAGGUGUUCGACGAGGGCAGAAGUGUUGGUGGAGUCCGAGAUCUCCUGAGGCUGGGGUGCUCCCUAAGGCUGGGGGACCUCUGGAGUUUGGUCGCCUAUUGGGGCUACCGCGGCCUCAGGAGCACCGUCUUGUGGUGCCCGAUCAUCUGCUGGCUCUGCUGUGGCUUUAGGGGCGCCGUCCUGGUGCUGCACCAUCCUGACCGGAUGCACGGCGUCGGGUGGCAGGCUCUUGACCUGGCGCUCCUCCCGGACGACCACCAACGCUGCGCUACCGAAAUGAGGUGUGGCGGUCAGGUAAAGCACCAGAGGCUCGAGAGAACGAGGCACCACCAUCACCGGUGGGCUGGUUAGGUAUCUCUUGAGGUCUUGAAAUGCCACGUCGGCCUCCGAAGUCUACUCGAAUGGGCCCUUCUUCUUCAUCAGCUUGAAGAACGGGAGGGUGCGCUCCCCCACCUUGGAGACAAAGCGCCCAGGUGAGGUUACGCAGCCCGCGAGUUUUUGCAUUUCCUUGAGAGUCUGCGGCGGGCUCAUGUCUUCUAUUGCUUUGACCUUCUCUGGGUUCGCCUCGAUCCCCUGUGCGACACGAGGAAACCCAGCAGCUUGCCGGAGGGGACGCCAAACACGCAUUUUUCCAGGUUGAGCCGCAGAUCUACCUUGCGCAGGCUGGCAAAAGUCUCCUCCAGAUCCUGAAUGAGGGUCCUAGCCUCCCGAGAUUUUACCACAAUGUCGUCGAUGUAGGCUUCAGCAUUCCUCCGGAGCUGUUGGCCUAGAGCGAUGUGCAUCAGCCGCUGGAAGGUCGCCCCAGCGUUACGCUGCCCAAACGGCAUGCAGGUGUAGCAGUACACCCCGCACGGGGUUAAUAAUGUCAUCUUCUCUACAUCCUCCACCGCCAUCUUGAUCUGGUGGUAACCUGAGAAGGCAUCUAGGAAACACAAUAGGUCGCACUCGGCGGUGGAGUCGAUGAUCUGAUCGAUGCGUGGAAGCGGGAACGGGUCCUAAGGGAAGGCCUUGUUGAGGUUGGUGAAGUCGACGCACAUGCGUUCCUUCCCGCCGUUCUUGGGCACGAUGAUGGGGUUUGCCAGCCACUCCGGGUAUCGGACUUCGCGGAUGACACCCGCCGCCUGUAGCUUGUGGGUUUCCUGGACGAUGAAGGACUACUUCUCUGUGGACUGUUGUCGCGCCUUCUACUUCACUGGGCGCACAUUGGGGCACACCCUCAAGUGGUGCUCGAUUACUCCCCUUGGGACCCCCACCAGCCGCUUGGGCUCCCAGGUGAAUACCUCCUUGUUCGCGCGCAGGAAUUUCACCAGUGCCUCUUCUUGGUCCGGGUUGAGGUUGGCGCCUAUGGUGAAGGUGGCUCCCGAGGCCCCAUCAUCGUCGAGCAGUGCUUGCUUCGUGUUGGCCCGAUCUUGCGAGAAUAACUGCUUCUUCUUCGCCGGCGCAGCCCCCUGGGCCCCAAGUGCUACUUCACUUGCGGGGUGCGCCGCCACCGCGGCCCUGAAGGCGAGCUUGAGGGCCGUCAAGGCCUCCUUGGUGUCUCCAGUCACGGUGAGGACGCCGUUGCUCCCCGGCAUCUUCAUGAGGUUGUAUGCAGGGUGAGUUGCUGCCAUGAACUGAGCCAGGGCUGGGUACCCGAGGAUGGUGUUGUACGGGAGGCCGAUGCGAGCGAUGUCGAAGUCGAUAAGCUCAAUGCAGUAGUUAUCACGGGUGCCGAAGGUGACGGGGAGGCGGAUCUGCCCUAGGGGGCUGGUGGAACCACCGCCAACUCCGGAGAAGGGCUUGGUGUGACGGAGCCGGCCGUGCGGUAUGUGGAGCAAGCUGAAAGCUUCCACGAAGAGCACGUUGAGGCUAGCCCCGCCGUCGAUGAGGGUCUUGGUUACCGCCAUGUUGCAGAUGAUGGGUGUGCAAAGCAUCGGGAGCGCGCCCGAGCCGGUGGUGGUCGCCGGAUGGUCCCCCGAGUUGAAGGUGAGGUCGGCCUUGGGCGCCGCCCAUCCCGGGGAGGUCCCUGCUGUAUAGAGGCGGGGCCCAUUUGACGGAACAACUGCUUGACGUCGCGAUCUGAGGGCAGUGCCUGCGAGUCGUCGAGGAUGGCUGCAACGGCGAGGGGCACUGGUGCUGCGAAGCGCGCGACGAAGAGACCGCACAACUCUUCCCAGGAGGCCAUUGAGGAUCCUAGCAGGAUGAGCAGCCAGGCGCGCGGCACGCCGGCUAGGGCCAUGGGAAACCAGUUGGCCAUGACCUUGUCAUCGCCUCCCGCUUCCCGAACGGCCUCCUCGUACACCAGCAGGAAAGCUGCUGGAUCCGCCGCGCCAUCGUAGCAAGGCGGCAUAUCCGGCUUGAACUUCUGCGGCCACUGCACCUUUUGUAAGGUGGGGGUGAAGGCCCGGAGGCCCAUGGUGCCUCUACGCACGCCCGUCGAUCCAGCUGGUGGGGCGGCGCCUGAUACGUCUCCAACGUAUCUAUAAUUUUUGAUUGCUCCAUGCUAUAUUAUCUACUGUUUUGGACUAUAUUGGGCUUUAUUUUCCACUUUUAUAUUAUUUUUGGGACUAACCUAUUAACCGGAGGCCCAGCCCAGAAUUGUUGUUUUUUGCCUAUUUUAGUGCUUCGAAGAAACGGAAUAUCAACCGGAGUCCAAACAAAAUAAAACCUUCGGGAACGUGAUUUUCUCACCGAACGUGAUCCAGGAGACUUGGACCCUACGCCAAGGAACAAAAGAGGCAGUCACGAGGGUGGGGGCGGCCCCCCCUAGGGCGCGCCCCCUGCCUCGUGGGCCCCUCGAUGCUCCACCGACGUACUUCUUCCUCCUAUAUAUACCUACGUACCCCCAAACAAACAGAUACGGAGCGAAAAACCUAAUUCCACCACCGCAACUUUCUGUAUCCACGAGAUCCCAUCUUGGGGCCUGUUCCGGAGCUCCGCCGGAGGAGGGCCGUCAUCACGGAGGGCUUCUACAUCAUCAUAGCCUCUCCGAUGAAGUGUGAGUAGUUUACCUCAGACCUUCAGGUCCAUAGUUAGUAGCUAGAUGGCUUCUUCUCUCUCUUUGAAUCUCAAUACAAAGUUCUCCCCCUCUCCUGUGGAGAUCUAUUCGAUGUAAUCUUCUUUUUGCGGUGUGUUUGUUGGGAUCGAUGAAUUGUGGGUUUAUGAUCAAGUCUAUCUAUGAAUAAUAUUUGAAUCUUCUCUGAAUUCUUUUAUUAUGAUUGGUUAUCUUUGCAAGUCUCUUCGAAUUAUCCGUUUGGUUUGGCCAACUAGAUUGGUAGUUCUUGCCAUGGGAGAAGUGCUUAGCUUUGGGUUCGAUCUUGCGGUGUCCUUUCCCAGUGACAGAAGGGGCAGCAAGGCACGUAUUGCAUCAUUGUCAUUGAGGAUAACAAGAUGGGGUUUAUUUCAUAUUGCAUGAAUUUAUCUCUCUGCAUCAUGUCAUCUUGCUUAAGGCGUUACUCUAUUUUUAACUUAAUACUCUAGAUGCAUGCUGGAUAGCGGUCGAUGAGUGGAGUAAUAGUAGUAGAUGCAGAAUCAUUUCGGUCUACUUGUCACGGACGUGAUGCCUAUAUACAUGAUCAUGCCUAGAUAUUCUCAUAACUAUGCUCAAUUCUGUCAAUUGCUCAACAGUAAUUUGUUCACCCACCGUAGAAUACUUAUGCUCUUGAGAGAAGCCACUAGUGAAACCUAUGGCCCCCGGGUCUAUUCUCAUCAUACCAAUCUCCAUCACUUUAAUCUUGCUUUGUUUUUACUUUGCUUUUACUUUUUACUUUGCAUCUUUAUACCAAAAAUACCAAAAAUAUUAUAUCUAUCAGAUCUCACUCUCGUAAGUGACCGUGAAGGGAUUGACAACCCCUAAUCGCGUUGGUUGCGAGUAGCUAUCGUUUUGUGUAGGUACGAGGGACUUGAGCGUAGCCUCCUACUGGAUUGAUACCUUGGUUCUCAAAAACUGAGGGAAAUACUUACGCUACUCUGCUGCAUCAUCCUUUCCUCUUCGGGGAAAUCCAACGCAAGCUCAAGAGGUAGCAGCGCCCGCCAUGAGAGCCGAACGGAGAGACGAAGUGGGCGGAGCGGCGGAACAAGCGGAGAGGCGGAGCUCCGGAGCACCCCUACCUGGCGCGCCAAAUGUCAGAUUACGGGUUCCGGCAAACCCUUGUGAGGUUCGAACUCUGGGGUGCGCACGAAGAACACUCUCUCCCUGACUCGCACGCUCAACGAUUCCACGGCCUAGCUUGACGGACCCAAAGAACAAGAGACACGGAGGUUUAUACUAGUUCAGGCCACCUUGCGGUGUAAUACCCUAUUCCACUGUGUGGGUGGAUUGCCUCGAGGGGCUGAGGAUGAACUAGUACAAGGGAUGAACAACCUCCGGAGGUGAGGUGUUCUUGAGCUAGAUGAGCUGGUGCACUCGUCAGGGUGGAAUGAAUCCGACCCCCCUCUAUGGUGGUGGCUAAGUCCUAUUUAUAGUGGCAUUGGUCCUCUUCCCAAAUGUUUAGGUAGGAAGGGAUCCCACAACGGCCAAGUUUGAAGGGGACAACUAGUACAAGCUAUCCCGACAAAAGGUGGUCUUCGCCUGCCAAAGGCUCUACUGGUGACGCUGCUGUGGGCUCCGCUAUGACCUCCGUCCUACUGGUCUUGGUCUUGUUGCACCGAUAUGGAAACCUUUGCCUGAUGCCUCGGGACCCCGCGCCUGCGCUUGCCUCUUUAGCACCAAAGAGGAAACUGGUACACUGCACCCGUUGGCGCCCGCCUGGCCUUGGUCGUCAUGGCUCACGUCACGUGAACCUCGCGAGGGGCCCCUUGCAUAGAUAUCUUCGAUCCUUGGGAGCCAGACUAGUGAGGCUGCCCCUAGGGAGGUCUUGGUGUCGUCCGCCUCGCGAGGCUUGGCCCAUCGCGAGGGUCCUGAGUUGUUGUUGCUGAAGCUGGACCAUACCGGGCCGUUGAUGGAGCCACGCCACGGGCCGCAGGCAGGCAAGUCUGGGUACCCUCGGUCCCAGAACGCCGACAUGAACCCACCGUUCCUUCUUCCGACAAGUCAAAUGAGUAGUAGCGGUCCCAAAUCAUGUUGAACCAGGGAAGAUUUGCUCUGCUAAAGAACUUGUGUAGAUUUUUCAUGAGCAAUGCUUUGUUAUGAACAGCCAGAUCCAAGAUCCCUAGACCACCAAGAUUUUUUGGUUGGGAGACCUUAUCCCAAGUAAUUAGAGCAGGGCCAGAUAUCUCUUGUCCAUACUUCCUCCAUAGAAAUUGCAUGAUGUGUUUAUUUAACUUUUCAAUGAUUCCAGCAGGAAGAGCAAUGGUACAUGUGAAGAAGAUUAGUAGGGUUGCAAAAACUGAUUUGAUGAGUUGAAGCUUGCCAUCAUAUCCUAGCAUGGUAGAGACUCCACAGAGUCUUCUCUCAAUUGUUUGACAAAUGGGAGUGAAGUCUUCAUUUUUAAGCAUGUGAUCACUCAGUGGGAGAUCAAGAUAAGUAAAUGGAAAAGUUCCCAUCUUGCACCCUAAGAAUCCAAGUAACUUAUUCAGAUUUGCUUCUCCCACAUUGAGGGGCACCAAAACAUGUUUUUUUGUAGUAAUCUGAAGUCCAGUUUGAGCAGCAAAAUGUGACGCCCCCGAUUUAAUCGUACACUAAUCAUACACGCAAACGUGUGCGAUCAAGAUCAGGGACUCACGGGAAGAUAUCACAACACAACUCUACAAAUAAAAUAAGUCAUACAAGCAUCAUAUUACAAGCCAUGGGCCUCGAGGGCUCGAAUACAAGAGCUCGAUCAUAGACGAGUCAGCGGAAGCAACAAAAUCUGAGUACAAACAUAAGUUAAACAAGUUUGCCUUAAGAAGGCUAGCACAAACUGGGAUACAGAUCAAAAGAGGCGCAGGCCUCCUGCCUGGGAUCCUCCUAAACUACUCCUGGUCGCCAUCAGCGGGCUGCACGUAAUAGUAGGCACCUCCAGUGUAGUAGGAGUCGUCGUCGACGGUGGCAUCUGGCUCCUGGGCUCCAUCGUCUGGUCGCAACAAUCGGGUAUAGGAAGGGGGAAAAGGGGAGCAAGGCAACCGUGAGUACUCAUCCAAAGUACUCGCAAGCAAGGAGCUACACUACAAAUGUAUGCAUUGGUAUCAAAGGGAAUAAGGGUAUCAUAUGUGGACUGAACUGCAGAAUGCCGGAAUAAGAGGGGGAUAGCUAGUCCUAUCGAAGACUACGCUUCUGGCCACCUCCAUCUUGCAGCAUGUAGAAGAGAGUAGAUGGUAAGUUCACCAAGUAGCAUCGCAUAGCAUAAUCCUACCCGACGAUCCUCUCCUUGUCGCCCUGUUAGAGAGCGAUCACCGGGUUGUAUCUGGCACUUGGAAGGGUGUGUUUUAUUAAGUAACCAGUUCUAGUUUUCAUAAGGUCAAGGUACAACUCCAAGUCGUCCUGUUACCGAAGAUCACGGAUAUUCGAAUAGAUUAACUUCCCUGCAGGGGUGCACCACAUUUCCCAACACGCUCGAUCCCCUUUGUCCGGACACACUUUCCUGGGUCAUGCCCGGCCUCGGAAGAUCAACACGUCGCAGCCCUACCUAGGCACAACAGAGAGGUCAGCACGCUGGUCUAAAUCCUAUGGCGCAGGGGUCUGGGCCCAUCGCCCAUUGCACACCUGCACGUUGCGUAUGCGGCCGGAAGCAGAACUAGCCCCCUUAAUACAAGAGCAGGCUUACGGUCCAAUCCGGCGCGCACCGCUCAAUCACUGACAUCACGAAGGCUUCGGCUGAUACCACGACAUCGAGUGCCCAUAACUAUCCCUACAUAGAUGGUUAGUGCGUAUAGGCCAAUGGCCAGCCUUAGAUCAAAUACCAAGAUCUCGUUAAACGUGUUAUCUUGAAAUAAUCGCGAACGCCGACCAAGGCCAGGCCCACCUCUCUCCUAGGUGGUCUCUACCUGCCCUGUCGCUUCGCCACAAAGAUCCACACAGAGGGUCGUCAGGAAAGUAUGUCCUUCCAGCCCCCAAUUCGUGAAUCAACCGCGGGUACUCCUCGAGCCAACCCGACUUUAGUCAUCACAUGUAUCAUGUAUAAAGUAUAUAGCAUAUACCCGUGAUCACCUCCCGAGUGAUCACGGCCCGAUAGUAUAGCAUUGCAAAUGGACAAGAAUGUAGGGCCACUGAUGAUAAACUAGCAUCCUAUACUAAGCAUUAGGAUUGCAGGUAAAGGUAGCAACAGUAGUAGCAAGGACAGGCUAUGCAUCAGGAUAGGAUUAACGAAAAGCAGUAACAUGCUACACUACUCUAAUGCAAGAAGUAGAGAGAAGAGUAGGCGAUAUCUGGUGAUCAAAGGGGGGGCUUGCCUGGUUGCUCUGGCAAGAGAGAGGGGUCGUCAACACCGUAGUCGUACUGGGUAGCAGCGGCGUCGGUCUCGGUGUCUAGCGAGAGAAGAGGGGGAAGAAACAAUAAAUAUUAAGCAAACAGAUGCAUGACGAUGCAUGACAUGACAAAGUGUGAAGUUAGGUGUGCCCUAACGCGGUAUGAGGUGGUACCGGUGAAGGGGGGAAACAUCCGGGAAAAUAUCCCCGGUGUUUCGCGUUUUCGGACAGACGAAAUGGAGGGGGGAAAGUUAUGUGUUCACUAUGCUAGGGAUGCAUGGGGGACGAACAGGUUGCGUAUCCGGAUUCGUCUUGUCGUUCUAAGCAACUUUCAUGUACAAAGUUUUUCCAUCCGAGCUACGGUUUAUUUUAUAUUAAUUUUAAAAGAUUUAAAUCAUUUUUAGGAUUUAUUUAAUUAUUUAAUUCAACAUUAUCCAGAAUAGUGUCUGCUGAUGUCAGCAUGACAUCAGCAGUUGACCUGGUCAACCUGACAGGUGGGUCCCACCUGUCAGUGACCCAUUUGACUAAUUAACAGUAGUUAAUUAGGUUAACUAGUUAUUAGGUUAAUUAAUCUUAAUUAGUUAAUUUAAACAGAAUUAAUUAAGUUAAUUAUUUAGUUAAUUAAUUGUUUUGUUUAUUUAUUUUAUUUCUAUUUUUUUCUUUAUUCUUAUUCUUCUUUUUUUAACAUUCUGUGGGCGGGGCCCCUCUGUCAUAGGCCCAUAGGGGCUUUAGCAGACGCUGGCGUUAGCGGGCACGGGCGCAACGGGUGCCCAGCACCUGUUCGUUCGCGCGCACGCCCGGGGCUGCGGCGAGGCCGGCCGAAAAUGGCUCCGGCGAGGCCAACCGAAGGCGGCGGGGNNNNNNNNNNNNNNNNNNNNNNNNNNNNNNNNNNNNNNNNNNNNNNNNNNNNNNNNNNNNNNNNNNNNNNNNNNNNNNNNNNNNNNNNNNNNNNNNNNNNNNNNNNNNNNNNNNNNNNNNNNNNNNNNNNNNNNNNNNNNNNNNNNNNNNNNNNNNNNNNNNNNNNNNNNNNNNNNNNNNNNNNNNNNNNNNNNNNNNNNNNNNNNNNNNNNNNNNNNNNNNNNNNNNNNNNNNNNNNNNNNNNNNNNNNNNNNNNNNNNNNNNNNNNNNNNNNNNNNNNNNNNNNNNNNNNNNNNNNNNNNNNNNNNNNNNNNNNNNNNNNNNNNNNNNNNNNNNNNNNNNNNNNNNNNNNNNNNNNNNNNNNNNNNNNNNNNNNNNNNNNNNNNNNNNNNNNNNNNNNNNNNNNNNNNNNNNNNNNNNNNNNNNNNNNNNNNNNNNNNNNNNNNNNNNNNNGGGCGGCUUUAGGUGACAGCGUCCGGCGAGGUGGCUCUCCAGGCGGCAGCGGCGGUCGGCUCCCCUCCUCGAUCCCGAUCCAGUCGGGGGAAGAUGGGGGAUAUUUUGCGCGGGAGUGGGGUGUGGGUGUCGGUGGCGAGUGGGGGAGUGGGUAUAAGGGAGUGGGGGUGGGCCUUGGCCCAGUUGGGCAGGCCAGCUGGGCCGGAGCCCAGUGGGGGUGCUUUUCCCUUUUUUUUGUUUGCUUUGAUUUUUCCUUUUAUUUAUUUUCCCUUUAUUGUUUUCAUUUACUUGUGUAAUAGUUUAUAGUUUUAGAAAAAUGAAACCCACUCCUAAAUUAGAUUUGUAAAAUUGAUUGUUCUCACAAAAGGUUUGGGACAAAAGUAAAGCAACUUGUAUUCUUUACUAAUUGAAAAAGCAUUUAAGUUAUUGUUUCUGUCGCUGUUUUAUUUAUUUUAGCGCAUCCAAAUACUUUUUAAAAAUGUUGGUUACUCCACCUUAAUACUUAGGAUUUAUUUCGCUCACCCCGAACAUUUUAGUUUUAAAUUUUGAAAAACUUUUAUUGUUUGCCUUUAAUUCAAUUUGAAUUCAAAUGGGAUUUGAAUCAUCACGAGUUUGGCAACAGUAAUCGUGAUGACGUGGCAACAUUAGAAGGGUUUACUGUAGCUUAAUUAUCCGGGCGUCACACAAAAUGCGACAGCAGGUUAUUCACUUGUGCAAUUUGUUUUUCUUGGGCUGGGAGAACCAGAAUUUCAUCGGCGAACUGGAUCACUAUGUAAUCUUGAUUUGACUGAGAGUUGAUAGGAGCUUGAAUAAUGUUUGCAUGCAUUACUUCACUGAGAACUGGGUGAAGUAGAUCAGCUCAUAGGACACAAACGAGUGGUGAGAGGGGGUCUUCAUUCCUCACUCCCCUUUCACAUUUGAAUUGCUUCCCUGACACUCCAUUCAACGAGACAUAAGACAAUCCAGUGGUGUAAAUCAUUUGAUCCAGUUAAUCCAUCUGGAGCUAAAGCCUGUGGCCUAGAGAAUUUGUAAUAUAGUGUCAUGUUCAAUCGUAUCAAAAGCUUUAGCAAAACCAAGUUUUAAGAUUAGUAUUUCUUUCUUGGACUGCUGGCACUGGUGAAUGUACUCAUAUGCCCAUGAUAGACAAUCUGGUAUGGACUUGGACUUCAGAAAUCCAUUAUUGAUUUGUAUGAAUAAGCUUGAGGAUUACUUUUUGUAGCCUAUUAGCCAGGAGCUCAGUGAUGAUAUUGAUGGAGCUGUUUAGUAGAGAAAUGGGCCUAAAAUCAUGAGGUGUUAGAGGAUUCUCUUUCUUUGGAAUCAAAGUAAUGAAAGAGUUGUUUGUGGGUGGAAGGUUCACUUUCUCAUUAUAAAAAUCUUCAAUGAGCUAGCAAAAGUUUUGACAAAUGAUAUGCCAACAAGUUUUCAAAAAUGCCCCAUUGAAACCAUCUGGACUAGGAGCUUUAUCAGUAGGAAGAUGUUUAACAACCUCAUCAUUUUCCAUUUUUUGAGAAUGGUGCAUCAAGCUCUUCCAAAGAAAUAUUUGAUGAGAGCAUGCUAGAGAGAUUGAAUAUUUUUUAAGUUGGAGAAGUACUACCAAGUCUCUUCUUAUAGGCUCUCCAUGGAAUUGCAGCCUUUGCAUUAUGAUCAAGGUGUUCAGUUUGUUGUACAUCAUUCAACAUGGCAAUCUAGGUAUUUGUGUACUUGAUAGUUUCUUUUGCCUGGAAUUUUUUUAUGUUUCCUUCUCCAAACUUCACCCGUCUAAUUAUGGCUCUUUGCUUACGGUAUAUGCUUUGAAAGUUAAGCAAGUUGUUCAUGUGGCUCUUUAAGAUAACUCUUCCAUUCCAUUCCUUGGUAUUCAAAGGCAUAUAUUGUUCUAACAUGUCCAGGAGAAGAAUGGUCUCAUUGGAGUUCUUGAUAUGUUGGGCAAGUUUUGAGAUGUUUCUAGACCAAACAUAACUUGAUCCAAAGUGAGCCAAGAUAAAACCACUUUCCUAACCAUCCAAUUAUAUGAUGUAUGAUAGUUCAUAUAGGCCUAGUUAUUUAAUCUAUAGGAAUAGACCAAUGAACAUUCAUGCUCUCAGGAGAAUGAUGUAGAAGGCUUGGGGUCUCCACAUGGAGGCUCAAUUUAAGGAUAUUAGCGGAAACAUCUUUGUAGUCCGCUUUGGCAGUGAAGGAGACGGAAACACUGGUUAAUUAAUGGACCAUGGCAAUCUGACUUUAACAUUAUAGUGCUGAAGGAUCAUGAGGAGGAUACGAGGCUGUCUGAUAUGGUUUUUGACAUAGUUGAAGCAUGGGUUUGAGUCACGGACCUACUACUAGAUAAACGCUUGGAAACUUUUGGAAAGGACCUUGGAAAUUGUCUCGGGGAGGUGAUCAAACUAGAUGCGGAGAAAGAUGGUUUAGCAUGAGGAAAGCACCUCCGUGUCCAUGCAACAUAUAUGUAGAUGAUUCGUCGGUGAGGGAUUUCUUCCUUAUGUCUUCACCAGAAGACCGAAUUGGUACUUGGUUUGAUUUCUCAUACAAGAAGAUUCCGCACUUCUGUUGUGAAUGUGGUCGGCUAAUUCAUGUAGAUGGUGUUUUUAGCCAUUGUGAAAUCUAGCUCCUGGUGGGAGAAUGGUUGAGGGACACAUGUUUGGGCUUAAGAGUGAAUCCAAUAAGAUGGUGUCUAGCAACAACAACAAUUUUGGUAGCUCGAGAUCGAGUGAGACCGAGCAUGGGAGACACAUGCAUGCUACUGUCUGAGACCUUCCAACCAAGCAUAACCUGUAUCGAGAGUUCAUGUCCUCUAGUACCACCCGCACUGGCGGGAGUACAGAGUCAAGUAGGAUGAGGUCAGUAGCCCGAGUAUGUGCAAGCACAAAUAGGGGAGAAUAAAGAGAAGGACUUGCGACAAAAUUUAGAGGAUAAAUGUGAAAGGGAGAUGAGGCAUGACCUGCACCAGUGACAUGCCCGGAGGAGCUCUGCAAAAUAACAAUACAACGAUCACAAAGAUACCCAUCACCACCACGUUCUGGUUUGGAGGAAUUAGGAAGGAGAAGGAGAAGUACAUAUGUAUGCAGGCCGAGAUAGUUUCAUGGUGAACAUCAACACAUGACCUCGAGUUAUCAAACUAAACUUGUAGAGAGAAAGAGAAUGCCCAAGCAGCUAUGGACCCAAAGGGAGCUCUGAAUAUGUAGAUUACUCAUGAUACUUUCAUUGGUGGUAAUAGGCAGAAAUUGACUUUAGUAUCUAGUCGUACCGCUAACAAUAUUGAGAAAUCGGUGGACCCUGCCGAACAGGGCCGCUGUGAGCAAUGGAUCUUUUAGUGUGGAUUUGUUGGGGAUUGGGGUUGAACUCGACAGUUGCCGAAUUAUGUGACCUGAUUAGGUCUUAUGAUUCAAUAAUGGUUUUCUUAAGCAAAAAAAAGAGAGCUCGGGUACAAUGGAGAAGGUUAAGUGCAACCUGGGUUUCAGGCAGGGUGUAGUUGUGGGCUUCAGGCAAAUUUUCAUUCCGGAAUAACAUUUAACAUGGUAAAAAACAAACUCGUCAUUCCAAAAAUGCUAUUUUCGAAAGCAUAUUAUGAGUGUUAUUUUUGUUUUUUUGCCAUGACUUCCACGAAUGUUAUCUUCGGGAUGAAAAUUUGCAAGCGCCAAAAACAUUUGUCGAAGUUUAUAAAAAAAAAACAGAUUUUUUUGAAGUUUUUUUUUCAUUUUUAAAAUUUACUAUUCACCCAGAGCUCUUUUACGCAUUAAACAUCCCAUGGGCAAUCAAAAGCAUCAAACAGCCACACCCCACUCUGCUACAGUCUACAGUCUCUAGUCUAGUUCCUGCUGCUACUACCACUGCCACUACCACGGCACCACCACACUUGCUCGCCUCCCUCUGUCUCUCCUCUCCCCUCCCCUCCCCUCCCUCCUAUAGCAAUCAAACCACCAGCUCCACUCCCCCCUCCCCUCCACCGUCCUCCCCCUCCCCCUCCUGCUACUCCCUAGUUCAUGUCCUGCUGCUUCCCAUGUCGCCGCCUCUCGAGCUCGACUACAUAGGCCUCUCGGCCGCCGCCGGCGGCCGCGCGGACGACGACCUGAAAGGCACCGAGCUCCGCCUCGGACUUCCCGGCUGCGAGUCGCCCGACCGCCGCCCGGUCACCGCCACCACCACACUGGAGCUGCUGCCCGCCAAGGGCGCCAAGCGAGGGUUUUCGGACGAGGUCGCGCCGCCUGCGCCGGCUUCCGCCGGCGGGAAAGGCAAGGACGCGUCCGGGGAUGAGAAGGACAAGAAGGUCGCCGCCCCGCCGCAGCCUGCUGCCAAGUAGGCGCCUACUCCCCCUGCGAAUUUUGUGGAUUUGACUGUUUCAUGGUGUUCUGCCGAGUUUUGCGGGAUGCGGUGGGUUGGAGCGCGAAUGGGUGGAUGAAGUGAUGCGUAAAAAUUUGGGAAAAUAUGUGGUGGGUUAGUACGAGACGGUGAUUUAGUUUGCUUGGAACCUCCGAAAAGCUGUAAUUUGGUGGCCGUUGCAUGCAUUUGAGGGAAUUCCGUCUGUCGAGGCGGAAAACCCCUCUUUUUUGGGUGCAAAUUUGGUGCCGAAGGGCCCAUUUUGCGGUUCUUCCGUUGCUGUUUGUGGGCGCGCGUUUGCACUCGGCUUGAUCUAUUAGUUUCAGGAGCGUGGAGGGGUAGAGAUUCAUUCACUGAAGAGUCUUUUUACAAUUUUGCUGUGAAAUUAGACUUCAAUACCCCCCUCCUCUUUUUUCUAACUUUAUUAGAUGUGUGAUUUUGUUCUUUGAAAUUUCAUUGGGAAACUAAGGAGGGCUUCACAUCUGCAAAUUUGCGCACCUGGUUUGAAUUGGACUAGUCAAUUUGGGUCUACCUUUACUUUCAAGGUUUACCAAGUUUGUAGUGCUUUGAGUUGUUUUCCAGGGUAUGUUUGGUUUGAACAUACCCGGUUGUUUUCAACUCGUGUUCAUAACCUCAUAGAGCCAAACGAAAUGCUGGGUCGGCUCCAUUGCCGGUUCUUACUCUGAAUGGCCGAUGCGCAGGACUCAGGUGGUGGGAUGGCCACCAGUACGCAGCUACCGCAAGAACACGAUGGCAACCACCACCAACCAGCUGAAGAGCAGCAAGGAGGAUUCUGACACGAAGCAGGGGCAAGAGUUUCUGUAUGUCAAGGUCAGCAUGGAUGGUGCGCCUUACCUGAGGAAGGUUGACCUCAAGACAUACAAGAACUACAAGGACAUGGUUGUGGGGCUAGGGAAAAUGUUCAUUGGCUUCAGGACCGGUGAGGCUGCUUGGAUCCUUGGCAAAUUGUUGAUGUUUUAAUCUGCACCUGAAUUUGAAUUGGGGUAGAAGAAAUGCAUCGUUGCACACAUCUCAUUUCGCUGAAGAAAUAACCAAUUACUCUGUUUGGAAAUGUUCUACUCCCUCCGAUCCAAAUUAAUUGACGCAGCUUUAGUACACUUUACUAAAGCUGCGUCAAAUAAUUUGGAUCGGAGGGAGUAGCAAAUUCCAGGUUUAUGAAAUUGAUGAAGAAGACUCUUUUUCAGGGCCGGCUAAAUUGGUUAUUGUGGUGUAACCAGUUUCGAGGCUUCGCGUCUACAUUUGGCCAUGCUAUUUGUGUGCAUAUUUGUUUCGCUAGAUACCUAGUUUCAGCAUAUAUUAUUACCGGUGGAGCAAAUAUUCUCUUCUAAUUCAAGGAACUUUUAUUGUGUUUAAUAUUGUUUGAUGAAGCAACUAGCAGUGGACUAUGUCAUAAAAUGCCUAAUGUUUAGGCUAGCAUUCGCUAAGGGUCUGUAAAUAACUAAAUAUCACUCAAUUAUUCAUAAGCCUUUGAUAAACAGCAAUUUCCCUAUAACCUCUUCAUACCCAUUUUGUGCUUCAAGGACAGACAUCAAACCUACUAAUUUAAGAACGUAAAUUUCAGAAAGGUGUAUAUCUAGGACAUAAAAUUUACCAACAUACAAUGCUUUGUUUGAGAAAUUCAGUGUAAGGUGGUCCUUUGUCCGGCAGUUUUAACCUUACAUGUGGUACUGGGUCUAAUUCUGUACCAGGGAAGGAUGGUGCAUCUGAGAACAGAAAGGAUGGUGAAUAUGUGAUGACUUACGAAGACAAGGAUGGAGACUGGAUGCUGGUUGGUGACGUCCCAUGGGAGUAAGUACAUUGUCUGAUCUAAUUGGAAUAACAACAAGCGUAGAAAUGAGAACUCUGGAUGAUAGUUUGAGUUUUGUAGUAUAACUUUUAAAGGAUGAUAAAAAAUGAUAGUGUACCAAAUAAAUGUUUUUUACUAGUUUUCUGUGUAUACAUACAUGCACCCAGAUAAAAUGAACUCGUUCUCUACAGCAACAGCAGCCAUGAUUAGAGUAUCUCUUAAGUCCAUCUAACCUGUUCUAAUUUUUUAUAGAAUGCAUGCAGUCAUCCUCUUAAAACUCUGACACAGAUAUACUAAUUUUUUUCCACCUAAAAUUGUGCCAUUAGUUUUAAAAAGCUUUGCUAUUAGGAAAAACAGUGGUCUAAGCAAUUUAUUGGAGAUAGCAUUGACGCCAAAAGAACCAGUAAAAAGGAACGGACCUAGUAGCCUAGUACUAGCUACUUGGUUAUCUUCUUAUUAUGUUGUAGUUGCUCUAAAUUCUAUGGUCCUGGUGUUCUAUUGCUGCAUGUAGCAUCUCAUGUCUGAACAAGUGAAAGGGUUCUAAUGCAGUCACUAACUCACUGUAGUUGUUCUUGUGGCACGUUAAUUGUUACAAUUCCGUUGUCAAGAAAACCAUGAAUAUCUGAUGCAUACCUGAUACCUCCCCUAUGAGCUUAUCAAGUGAUUGCUUCUUAUUUGUAAUUGCAGGAUGUUCACCGAGUCUUGCCGGAGGAUCAGGGUCAUGAAAAGUGCAGAUGUGAUUGGACUUGGUAUGUCCAAUAGUGCUCCGUUCAGUAAUACAUUUUUGUUUUAAUUUCACUGAUGCCAUGCCGUGCUUCUGCAGUUAUUUUAUUUAACCAUUUGUCUGCACGUGUUACUGCUUUACUGCUCAAGCUGUUUCUCAGGCUUGCUUAAUUAUUUGAACUGCACUUAAGCGGGAAAGCGGUUUACUCUUGAAAAAAGUCAUUGUACUUGAAAGCUUGUUUAGAAGUUGGAGCUUAAAUAUCUUUACGGUCCCAGCAUUAAAUUGAGUGUUAGUUUGCUUUUAUUCCUUUUAAUUAGAAUAUACUCCCAAUUCUACUCUAGACGAGUAAGAAAGCCUUGUGAGUUUUGGAAGUGUUUGGAUAUAACCCAUUCCUGGUCUCUAGAGUUUGGAGAAUGACAAUUGUUUCCGUAAUGCCAUUUGAAGAACAGAAUGUUGUGUUUGGAUAUAACCCAUUCCUGGUCUCUAUCUAUGCUUUUGUUUUGCUACUUUGGAAUGUUUGUCCAACAAUGUAAGGUUUUAAGUUCACUUGGGUAACCUGCACCAUCCUACGUCAAGUACAUUUCAUAAUUCUACCUUGACAGUAUGAUGUCCAAACUGACUGUAUCUGUUCUUUUUCCAGGAGUUACAAGGGCAGGGGUUAAGUCCAAGAAUAAGAACUAAAACGGUCGCUGCCCACAGUUUGAAGACGAGGUCGCACAUAUCGUCUGUACUACUGCAUGGUUUUCCUACCCCGCAAGUAAAACCACCCGUUACUCUACUGUUUAAGAUUUGCGAUAUCUCCUAGAGACUUAUGCUCUAUAUUUUGUUGUGCCCACGUUGUUGUACGCGUGUUAUUUCCAUCCGUGUAAAUGGUUGGCAAGCAGUGCGAGAGCUACUGCUGUGUUUGAUGACUCCUAUGUAUUUCGCCACUCUUGUCCUGAACUGGUCGUUCGUCGUAAAUGUGAAGGUUGCAAGACUAUUAUUUACCUGACGAACUCUGCUUCGGCACACCCCCUCCUAGAAAAGUCUACAGAUUUCGACGCAGAUUAGAAUUUACCCCUUUGAUAAAAAAAGGGUGACAUGGUCUUUUGUACCCAAAUCAAUCUAUUCAAUACGUUUGAUCUGCAGGCUAACAUGGCGGUGGUCUUUUUAAGUUAACUUUAAGAUCUGUAUAAACUUUUUAAGGGGGUGCAACGAAGGGAAGCAAAACUCCUGGCUUGUUCCAAAGUUUUUGCUGUUCCAAUUUGUUAUACUGUUUGCGGAUCAGCGGGCUGCUGCUUUGUUAUCCAUUUCUUCUGAAACAUAGGCAACAAUUGCAUGGUGAAACAUCUCAUCUAUUCUUUGCCAGCAGCUGUGUGGCUGUUGCCGGGUGGGGACAUGUACUACUGCACACGCCAAAAUUAUCUUUUGAAGCCGUUCAUCAUGGUUGUUCCAUAGAGUAGUAGUAGUGGUGCUAUGGCCUAAAAGGCUUCCUAACACCAUCAUUCAGGUAGUAUAAAAUGCGACGGCUAUGGGGGUUAAUGAUGGCUUAUCAUCCCUUAGAAUCAGGCUUUCCAUUGCCGGCCAGUAUCUUCUUCCUUCCCACCUACAGUACGUAGUAGAAAGUAGAAACGAUGCUCCACUUUGGCCUCCUUUCCUCUUGUUUCCUAUUCCUCCUUUCCCCUUGCAUAUCCGCUGGUUGGUUGGUGUGCAUGUGAAGCAGCGGCGGGAUCAGGAUCGAACACUUCAGGACGCUGGGCCCUGUCCUAGUUUAUCCCAGAAGACGAAUGAAUCAGCGUUGGCAUGCACUUGCUUGCCUGUGCCUCGUGGUGUUUUCCAGGACAAGUGUGGAGUACUACCACUGUAAACUAAUAUAAGAGCGCGUUUAGAUAACUAAAGUAGUAAUUUUUUUGAUAAAAGAUGGAUUUUAUUAACUCAAAAUGAAGCAUCAAGUAGAUAUAAAGCAUGAUGAGCACACAUCCGGCCUUUGCAUAGCUAGGAUGCACAUAGCCAACACCAACACACGCGCACAAAAAACACACGCUGAGAAAUAGCAAAAUCAUACAAGACCAAAGCUAUGCCUAAGCGAAAAAAGCCAAAGCGAUCAGAACAACGAUCGACAAACUACGACAAUGAUCAUAUCCGCAUCAUCCAUCUUUUGACACCACAAGGACAAAAAAGUUCUUCAACAGCAACGCCUUCAGAAAGGAAAUGACGCACCAACGUUGCCGUCGCCGGAUCCAACAAUGAGAGGCCAGAAUCUAGGUUUUCAUCAUGAAAAACAAGUCUGAGCAUAUAUGAGCAAUGCCUUCAACAAGGUAACGAUGCAAAAACGUCGUCAUUGCCAGGAAUAACCAACUUAGGUCAAACCUAGGGUUUUCACCCCAAAACUCAAGACUGGAUACUCGAGAAGCACCACCAGAUCUAAGUCAAUCAUGUGUGUUGCCAUCACUUUUCCACGAUCCCAGCAGCUACAUGCGCUGGGCUUAAAAUCCCGUUGACGCCGCCACUGCACAACCAUAUCUUUUGCGUCAAGUCACCGUCCAUAGAUUGCAUCUCAUCGCCAAAGGCAGACUGGUCGGAGCGAGAGCCGCCAAACCCCGUAAAGGGAGCUUUUGGCUGCAUCCCGCCAGCUCGCCGGUUCGAGUCACCGGCGGCAACCAUCAGAUCCAAAGAGAUAAACACUAACAAAGAUCAUCAGGUGGCCACGACAAUCCGCAGGGCACGGAUGCCCAUAACCAAGUGGAUCGCCACCGGAACCCCCAGCUGCCACAAAGCGCCAAGGCUAGCACGCGCGAGAGAGCGCAGCCGCAAGGAUGGUACCACCAGAACUUCAUGCAGGCCAACGCAGCAUGCCAGAUCCAUAACAGGGACGCCAUGAUCUGCAGUCAUACAACGCGCCGCCGGUCCUCCUCAUGCGCACCAAGCAGAUACAGCCCAUGGUUACUGCAACAAGAUGGAAUGCUGAUGCAUGGAUCACGCUAACACCCCACACGCGCAGGCUUCCAGAUUUGUUUAUCCGCCACUGUAGCUACGUCACGACCACUAGCCUGCGACAACCACCACACAGGAGCAGGGGCAUCACGAGGACUAGAAAGAACGGAGGGGAGUGGGCAGGAGUGGCCCCGCGGCCGCCACCGGCCAGCCGACGGCCGCCGGCGACGGCAGCAAGGGUAGGGAAGAGGAGGCGGCGCCUAGGGUUAGGGCCGGCGACUCUCUGGUGGACUUAAGUCAUUUCAAGCGUGUGAUUUAAACGCUUUUAUAUUAGUUUACGGGGAGGAGUACGCGAUUCUACUUUGAUGCUGAUCAGGCUGGAAACCAGUUAACUAACGAAAAAUCGGUCAAAAACCGCCACGACCUGCUGAGCAGCAGGGACAAGAUACCCCACAUGCACCACUGUAAAGAAAGGCUCAUCGAGGUAGCACGUUGACGUCAUCAUCGUUGAUUCUCCUUGAGAACCAUCAUCGUCUUCCCUUCUCUCUGAGGGAGCGAGCGACUCCGCCUUCCCAGCAGACGACCACCGACGCAACCCAAUCCGUAGAGGAAGUGCGAAGCCACAUGGAGAUCAAUGCCAAUCACUCAGCCACCCGCGACAGGGGUGACACAAUUCCGAUUUUGACGAAGUGCUGCGAAGGAGAACUAUGCAGGGCUGAUGCUGCGGAAAAUCAGAAAUCACUGAACAAAUCACGUACCACUUGUCAUCUUGCCACCCGGACCCGUUAUCGUAGCUAUGACUUUGUAGUCGAGAAGGACCUAAGGAUACACUAGAGAAGAGACGACUACCAUAAUCAUGUCGUGACCGUGUCAUCUCUCUUCCCAUCGUCGUUGCCACAUAAGCCAUGACGCCUUCACCAUCAUCUUCCACCGGCCGCCGCCACGACCACCCUCAUCAUCCUCACCACCCUGAGUCCCUGACGCACCACUCUCCCGCGGUCCUCCUCGUUCCCACUGGCUGGAUAAAGCUAAAAAAUGAUGCCCGUGAGAGGGGAACGACAUCAAAAUGUCGCCUCCGUCCGAUCAUCUUGUAUUUGGCUUCUCUCGGGUUGUCUCAGGCGGAGAUAGGCAGAGCAACUCAUCGACGCCGGAAGUUACGACAUUGAUAUAUGUCUGUCGCCGUCGCUGGCUGCGGCCACGGCCGUAGACAAAAAUGAGACUUUCCCCGAGAGUGUCCUCAGCUCAGGCUGGUUAUAGUGGGGAGUAACUUAGACUAGUAUCAUAUGCAUGACAGUAGUCUAAGUUACUACCUUCAUAGUGCAAAGUAACAUAAUACUAGUGUCAUAUGUGGCCUCAUUUAAUAGCUUGUAGACUCAUGUUGUCUUGAAAAGCGCUAUGUUACAGUAACAUAUUAUGUUACUACUUUUCAUUAACUACUUGCAACAUAAGCAAAAAAUUCUCGAGAUGCGUUAUGUUACUACCUAAAUUACUCCCACUAUGACUAGCCUCAAAGAAUCCGUUGAGCCAGCACAACCACUUGUCGCAUCUUCUCCAGAUCCAUGGCAUCUCUGGGCCGGCAAAUGCAAGCAAGCCGACCUAGCUCAGUGGUAGAGCGCGUGGCUUUUAACCACGUGGCCGUGGGUUCGAUCCCCACGGUCGGCGUUAACUAUGGUUUUUUUAAACCCUUUUAACCCCGAACACUUCUCAGCAAAUCAGCGUAUCUCCCUCCGCACUUGCUUCCCUGUGCCUUUCUGCUGUUUCCAGCAGAUACUUCAAUAUCAUUUACUGAAUCUUAUUUCAUGACAAGUGGCAACCACGCCGACCUAGCUCAGUGGUAGAGCGCGUGGCUUUUAACCACGUGGCCGUGGGUUCGAUCCCCACGGUCGGCGACUUGUAAUUUUUUUGAUUUUUUCUUUAUUUCGACCUGUUCAUUUUUGUUCAGGCAGGACCACUGCCUAGUAGGAUAUUUUGUUCAUUUUGGAAUCCUUUGGUGAAAGAUCCCCACGGUCGGCGAUAUUUUCUAACUUUCCCGACUUGUUAAUUUUUGUUCGGGUAGACUGCCUAGUAUGAUGUGGAAUCCUUUGGCGUGAAAGGUCCCUUUGUUCCUCCGUGGUCCUGCCCUGCCACUGUACGAGUAUGCGCUAGCUAGCAUUACUACCAUCCUAGAUCAACCUUUAAUCUUUUCGUGCCUGAUAAAGCUAGCUUAGUUUACUAGUAACGCAAUGCCAGCGAAAUGCCGUGUUCCUUUUGUUACGCCACCAUCCAUUAAGAUUUCUUGCACCGCAUCUUACAUAAUACAGUACUUACUACAUGGCCAUGUCUGUAAUCACCGAGCUCAUGCUCUGCAAAUGGUUAUCCCGAUAUGACGUGGUACGAAGUGGGAUCGAUCACCGGACCGGACGGACGCAUUUGACAUUUGCUUCGAGUCCGUCACCGCGAUUGACGCCUGUAAAAUUUGUCCACCGCGCGCAUGCGCUCUGAACCAGUCUGAACCCAGAGGCAGGAGGUGGUGCGGCAGUAACUGCCCCCUGCUCCGACGCAGCGUCAGAGCCCAGGUGCCGCGCUGUCGCCUCCAGCACGAGCGCGGGAGGGCCGAGGGCCAGGGCAUUGCCAUUGCCUGUCUCGCCAUGAGUUGCUUUUCGCGGGCACAGUAGUAGUACCGGGGGGUGUAGUCGUGGUGGUGUAGACGUCGUACCCUUGUCUCGGUUUCCGGCGACCCUGCGGUUUGCUUUGCUCGCGCCGUUAGUACCGUGCGGCAUCGUGCGUGGUUCGGGGACCCAGGAUCUCUCGCGGUAUUACGGGGGUUUACUGUCAGUCAGGAUUGUCAUUCUGGGAAAUCAGAUUAUCUUCCAGGGCGCUGUAUGCAAAGCUGCGAGCAGAAUGCGCUUAUUGUCAGUUAUUAACCAGUUAACCUGGAUAUCACAUUGACAGCAGCACCGUACACUUGGGGCACCUUCUCAUUCUACUAGCAAAAGACAGAUCGGCAACAUACAACUUUAUAUGCGACAAAUUCAAGUCCAAGCUCACUGCUUACAAAGCCAACAUGCUCUCUCGUGCAGCAAGAUCAAUUCUUAUUAAAUACUCCCUCCAUCCCAAAAAAAAUUAAUACAAAGUUGAGUCAUUUAUUUUGGGACGAAGAGAGUAUGUCUUUUCCUCAAUCCCUGUCUACCAUAUGUCAAAUAUCCUCUUUUCAAAGUUCUUACCAAAACUCAUAGCUACCAUUAGAAACUUUUGGUGGACAGGUGUGAAAAAAAAGAACCAUCUACAAAGAUACUAUGAUUAAGGGCAUGGGCAAACAUUUGCAUAGAAAAAAGGAUUGGUGGUUUAAGUGUUAGGACCUUACGUGCUAUUAACCAGGGUCUAAUUCUUUCGAUGGCCUAGAGAUUAGCAAAGGAACCCAGAGUCAUCUUGCUCUCAUUCUCAAAUCAAAGUACCACAACAACACAUCCAUUUGAAGGACGAAGCAAAACAUAUCAAAAUCUGCCACCCACUAAGCAAUUCUCAAGGUAAGACCACUGUUAAUAUCAACCUCUUUUUACCAAAUUGUUGAUGGCAGUAGCUCCAUUUGGAGUUCACUGUGGUUCUCUCAAUGUCAAACUAUUUAUGAUAAUUUGACCAUUCAACAACCUCCUUAUAUUUACCUGGCUAUAGUUAAUGACCUUUGGUUCUCAAUCAGAAAACUUGAAAUGUUCAACUUGUCAACUCUUUGUUUACUUCUCAAUCUGCUAACGUUAUACUGCAAACCCCUAUCAUUAAUGCUCGUGGACGUUCUAGUUUGGAAAUUAAGACUGCAGGUGGUUUCUCUUAAAAAAGUACAUAUUAACACUGCUUUAAUAAUCUAACACUAUCGGCAAACUAGAGGCCGAAAUCUGGAGGCACUCAUGGCACCAAUGGUCCAAACAUUUGUCUGGAGGCUUCUUCGUCGAGCUAUUCCAACUGGUAAGAAUGCAAUAGGUUUUCCAACCAUAUUAGUGAAAAUUGUGCAAGAUGUGGCAACAUAGAGGAUGAAAUGCACAUGCUUUUCUUUGCCCUUUCUCAAAAGCUUCUUAGGUUUCCUCUCCUUGGUAUAUUAAAACUGAGGUACUUGCUGAAAGUAACCAUUCAACUCCACAAAUAUUAAAGGCUUUGCUAGUUUUUGCUCAUCCUCAUAUUAAUAUAACCAGUCUAUACACUUUCUUGUGGUGCCUUUGGAAGGUAAGAAAUGAUACUUUGUUUGGUAGAAAGUUUUGCAAGCCCUCGCAUGUAUAUCCGACGGCUAAUGCGAUCACGCAAGGCUCAAAGCUAGAAGAGAUGAUGGCAUCCCAGGAUCAGCACGACACAACCCCUAAUGUUCAACAGCUAAUAACCCAGCAAGAACCACCCUUGGUUACGUCUCCAGGAAUUUCCUGUGAUGCGGCCUGGAAAAAUGAAGAAAAAAUGCAAUCAUCUCCUGCAGGCAUUGGUGUUAUUAUCCAACUUGAAGACAAUGAACAUUGCCAGUGGCUGCAUGUUUCGGCUCUUUCUCCUCAGGUGUCAUCCCCUCUCUAGGCCGAAGCAUAUGGACUUCUCCAAGCCAAGAAGCUAGCAGAUACUCUUCACAUCCACGAUCCACACUACUACGCAAAUUGUUCUGCUCUAGCGUCGGCAGCAACUACGAAUUCCAUCUGUUGGGGAACGUAGUAUUUCAAAAUUUUUACCUACGAUCACGCAAGAUCUAUCUAGGAGAAGAAUAGCAACGAGCAGGGAGAGUGUGGUCACGUACCCUCGUAGACCAAAAGCAUUUAGUAACCUGGUUGAUGUAGUCGAACGUCUUAGCGAUCCAACCGAUCAAGUACCUAAUGCACGGCACCUCCGCGAUCUGCACACGUUCAGCUCGGUGACGUCCCUCGAGCUCUAGAUCCAGUUGAGGCCGAGGGAGAGUUUCGUCAACACGACGGCGUGGUGACGGUGAUGAUGAAGUUACCAACGCAGUGCUUCGCCUAAGCACUAUAGCAAUAUUACCGAGGUGGAAAUCUGUGGAGGGGAGCACCGCACACGGCUAAGAAAUCAACUUGUGUGUCUAUGGGGUGCCCCCUCCCCCGUAUAUAAAGGAGUGGAGGAGGGGGCCGGCCGGGCUCAUGGGGUGCGCCCCAAGGGGGAAUCCUACUCCUACUAGGAGUAGGUUCCCCCCCUUUCGUAGUCCAACUAGGAGGGGAAGGAAAGGGAAGAGGGAGAGAAGGAAAGGGGACGGGGGGCGGCCCCCCUCCCAAUUCGGAUUGGGCUUGGGGGGUCCGCCCCUCCACUUGGCCGCCUCCUCCUCUCUUUCACUAAAACCCAUGAAGGCCCAUUAACCCNNNNNNNNNNNNNNNNNNNNNNNNNNNNNNNNNNNNNNNNNNNNNNNNNNNNNNNNNNNNNNNNNNNNNNNNNNNNNNNNNNNNNNNNNNNNNNNNNNNNNNNNNNNNNNNNNNNNNNNNNNNNNNNNNNNNNNNNNNNNNNNNNNNNNNNNNNNNNNNNNNNNNNNNNNNNNNNNNNNNNNNNNNNNNNNNNNNNNNNNNNNNNNNNNNNNNNNNNNNNNNNNNNNNNNNNNNNNNNNNNNNNNNNNNNNNNNNNNNNNNNNNNNNNNNNNNNNNNNNNNNNNNNNNNNAGACUCAUCGUCAUGUCCGUGAUCACAUCCGGGACUCCGAACAACCUUCGGUACAUCAAAUCACAUAACUCACAAUACAUAUCGUCAUUGAACAUUAAGCGUGCGGACCCUACGGGUUCGAGAAGUAUGUAGACAUGACGAGACUCAUCUCCGGUCACCAAUAGCGGAACCUGGAUGCUCAUAUUGAUUCCUACAUAUUCUAUGAAGAUCUUUAUCGGUCAAACCGCAUAACAGCAUACGUUGUUCCCUUUGUCAUCGCUAUGUUACUUGCCCGAGAUUCGAUCGUCGGUAUGAUCAUACCUAGUUCAAUCUCGUUACCGGCAAGUCUCUUUACUCGUUCCGUAAUGCAUCAUCCCGCAACUAACUCAUUAGUUACAUUGCUUGCAAGGCUUAUAGUGAUGUGCAUUACUGAGAGGGCCCAGAGAUACCUCUCCGAGAAUCGGAGUGACAAAUCCUAAUCUCAAUCUAUGCCAACUCAACAAACACCAUCGGAGACACCUGUAGAGCAUCUUUAUAAUCACCCAGUUACGUUGUACGUUUGAUAGCACACUAAGUGUUCCUACGGUAUUUGGGAGUUGCAUAAUCUCAUUAGUCAUAGGAACAUGUAUAAGUCAAGAAGAAAGCAAUAGCAAUAAACUAAACGAUCAUAAUACUAAGCUAAUGGAUGGGUCAUGCCAAUCACAUCAUUCUCUAAUGAUGUGACUCCGUUCAUCAAAUGACAACUCAUGUCUAUGGCUAGGAAACUUUAACCAUAUUUGAUUAACGAGCUAGUUAAGUAGAGGCAUACUAGUGACACUCUGUUUGUGUAUGUAUUCACACAUGUACUAAGUUUCCGGUUAAUACAAUUAUAGCAUGAAUAAUAAACAUUUAUCAUGAUAUAAGAAAAUAUAAAUAACAACUUUAUUAUGGCCUCUGGGACAUAUUUCCUUCACCAUCUUCAAAGACGUAGGACAUUGGAACAUAAUGCCCAUUCUUGGGACGUGGAGUAUUUGCUCCCGAGCUCAAAUGCUCCUUGAUAAACAGUAAAAUUGGAAAAAAGAGAGUAAAACAAUUCAAAAUUCUGCAUUUUUUGUGAUAAACUUUAGCAAAUGUUUUGUAUGCUUGUAAUAUUUCAGCACGAAAUAACAUUCUUGGAAGUUGUGGAAAAGAACAAAAUGGUUGUUCCAAAAAUGCUAGUUUUCAAAGCAUUUUAGAGUGUUGAUUUUUUGCCACGCCUUCCACGAAUGUCAUUUCGUGCUGAAAUUUUGCAAGCAUACAAAACAUAUGUAGAAAUUUACCACAAAAAAUUUCAGAAUUUUUUACUUCUUUACUAUUUUUGUCGAUUUUACUGUUCAUUAUGGAGCAUUUGAGCCCGGGAUCGGAAAAGGACUUUCACCAUUCUUACUAGUAUAUAGGCGUCCCCAUCUUUUCUUAGCAGCAGGGUGGCGCACAUCAAUAGGUGUUUUAACGUAAAAGCACAUCAUCAAUCAAAGUUAGUGAUCAAAAUUCACAACAUGCCUACAUCUUUUAGUCGUCUCUCUUCAGAAGCAAGUCCUUGUAUUGUGAGGGAUGUUAUCACCAUGUCAAGUGUGAUGCCUUUCACACUACUCUUUGUAAAGUACCGUUAAUGCAAUAAAAUACUUUCUGUGCUCCAAUAAAAACCGGAUAUAGCGGCCUAGACUAGAAACGGCGAUAUGCGGAUGCUGUAGAGCACACACUCAAGGUGUAUCCUCCGAAUCUUCAGUUCUUCACAGCGGAACUUGCCAGCAAAUGCAACCACCGCUGACCUCCAUGCAAGGCGCGAACUUCUCAAAAUUUCAAAAUUGUUCUUGAUUUAAAAAUUAUUCAUACUUAAAAAAUGAUUCUAUUUAAAAUAAUGUUCUCAAUAUUUUCAAAAAUGUUUGCAAUUUUGGAACUAGUUCCAAAAUUUUAAAAUGGGCACAUUUUAAAUUUCGCAAGUUCUAAAAAUGUUCACAGAGUUUAAAAAAUAGUUCGCUUUCUAAGAGACUUACUUUUGAGUUUUGUCUUAAAGAUAAACAAAAAAACCAACGAAGAAACGACACAGUGACCGAGUCUCGACAGUAAUCGAGUCCUUACAACAAGUAAGUAAUAACUACAGUGCCAUGGAAAUGGGCCAGCCCUGUUGUGCGUCAAAUAUUCGGCUAUUCGCACCACGACAGCUAUAUCUCGCUUAUAGCGAGAAUAGCUCUCGCCUAGCUGAAGGUUUUCCCAUCUCAACUGUUUCUGGGCCGGCCCAUUUUUGUUCUUUUUCGUUCGCUCUUUCUUGUUUACUCGAUCGGUCGCAUGUCCUCCGAUGGUUCUCGUUCAGUUUUCAUUUUUUUUCCAAUUUAUUUUUAUUUGUUCUUUUAGUUUUCUUUGUUCUCAAGGAUUUCUUCGGUUUUUUUGUUUUCCAUUGGGUUUCUCUGUGUUUUCUUGGUUUUCUCGGUUUUCAUAGGUAUUCUGUUGUUUCUUUCUUUUUCAUACGAUUUCUUUGGUUCAUUUUAUCCUUCUCAGUUUUCACUGAUUUUAUUUUCAUUCUUUCUUUCAAUGCUUCUGUUUUUCCCUUUUUUGGUUUCAUAUUGUUUUCUUUUUCGUGUUUCCAUUCUUUUUGCACUUGUUCCUUUGAUUUUUGUUUUUUACUUUGUCUCCUUUGUUUCUUUUGCUUACAGUGUUCUUUGUUUAUUUUUGUUUUCAUUCUUCAUUUUUCAUAUUCGUCAAUAACAUUUUUCUAAUACACGUUCAACAUUUUUGAAUAGAAAUUUAACAUAUUUUAUAAUACGUGGUCGAUUUUUUUUCUAUCCACAUUUUAAACAUUUUCUAAGUGCUUAAUAAAAACAAAUAAUACAUGGUCAGCAUAUUCUCUAUUCACAUUUUAAAUUUUUUAAAUGCUUGACUAAAUUUUUUAAAUACAACAUUAAAAUUUUUCCAGACAAGGUCAACAUUUUUCUACAUAUCUAACAUUUUUCAAAUGUUUAUUUAAUAAUUUUCAAACACUUAUUUAACAUAUGCUUUUCAAAUGCUUGAUUACCAUUUUUAAAUACAUGAUCACAUUUUUUCAGACAUAUUGGAUAUUUUUUCGUACACAUUUUACAAUAUACAUGAGAAACGUUUUCUUUAUAGUUUAUACACAUUUAAUAUUUUCCAAAUGCUUGGUUAACAUUUUUUGACUACAUGGUCAACAUUUUUNNNNNNNNNNNNNNNNNNNNNNNNNNNNNNNNNNNNNNNNNNNNNNNNNNNNNNNNNNNNNNNNNNNNNNNNNNNNNNNNNNNNNNNNNNNNNNNNNNNNNNNNNNNNNNNNNNNNNNNNNNNNNNNNNNNNNNNNNNNNNNNNNNNNNNNNNNNNNNNNNNNNNNNNNNNNNNNNNNNNNNNNNNNNNNNNNNNNNNNNNNNNNNNNNNNNNNNNNNNNNNNNNNNNNNNNNNNNNNNNNNNNNNNNNNNNNNNUUUAAAUACAAGCUUGGCAUUUUUAAAUUACUUGGUCGACAUUUGUUCUCUGCACAUUUAAAGUUUUCAAAUGCUUGUUUAUUUUUUCCAAUAAUUGUUUAGUAUUUUUUCAAAUGCUUGAUUAACAUUUUUUAAUACAUGAUCAACUGUUUUCACACAUACUGUAUAUUUUUGUAUAUAUUAUAUAUAUAUAUUAUAAACAUGAGAAAUAUUUUAUUUAUACACAUUUAAUAAUUUUCAAUUAUUUGGUUGAUAUUUUUCAGAUGUUUUUAUGUAAAGAUCUUUUCUUAAUAUAUUUAUUUAAAGUAUUUGGAACUGUAAUAAAAAUUAAAGAAAAGGAAAAGAGAUGAACAUAAAUUAAAAAACGAGACUGUGGUCUCCUGCGCGCCUGGACUGCCGCAUUCAGUGAGAAGCCUGACGCAAGAGCACGCUAGGUCUUGUAGUAAGCAAGACAUAGCGGUGCCCUAUUCGCACAGUGAAGGGAGCGAGUAGAGUGGGCCAGCGUUUUAAUUGGCUAGCGUAGAUUCUGUUUUGGGAAUCUUUCAGAAGGUUCUGAUCCUGUUCUUUUUAGUUACCCCUAAAAAUGUUCUUGUUUGUGUCUUUCUUUGUCAGGUUUUAUAGUUUUCAUAUAUUAUUUUCAGGUUUUGUUUUAUUUUCUGAAAAUGCUUGUAAUCUUAUAAAAUAUUUAUGGUUUGUAUUUUUUAAUAAAAAUUUCCAAAAUAUAUUUGAAAUCAAGAAAUGUUUUCAAAGUUUAAGAAAUUGUUGCAAAAAAUUUAAACAUAUUCACAAAAUGUUUAAAAAUUUCACCCUUUUAAAAAGUUAUAUAUUUGAGUUUGCUAAAAACCGAAUGACCCCUCCCCCCCCACUAGAAAUCGGAAAAGCUAAAUGAAAACAAGAGAGAAACCAAAGAAAAGAGGGGGUAAAGUCAUAUUGUUGUACCCCUCACGCGGGGGAAGAAAACAACACGUAAGAGCGAACCGGGCCUGUGGCCUAUUAACUGCGCCAUGUGCACCACGCGCCCUAGUUGAUGCAAAAUGCAUCAUAUAGGGGCCAUUGGUCUAGCUUGAGAAGGAUGCAUUUUUAACCUAAAGUCUAGCAUUGGCACGUAGGGCCUUUUGUUUUUUCUAGGAAUUUGGUUGAGUAUAAUUGUGCAUUUUUCAGACAACGACUGUUUGAUUUUUAUAGGACUAAAUGAUACACGGUAUUUUUUUCACUCUAUUUCAUAAAAAAUAGUACCCACCAAAAUCUCUUGGAAAGAAUCCUUCAUAUUUUUUCCGCUGGUAGUCACGCUGGGUGGGUCCUACUCGGGAGCUGUUGGAAAAAACUAAAACCUAAAAAACCAAUGUUAGGUGGACCUUCUUACAUACUUAAUUAACAGUUAAAAUAAUUAUAUAGCACACCAUAGUCCAUGAAAUUAAUUGUAUCAUGAUGUAGGACCCUUCUUUUGGUAAGCUCGCGAGGGUUUCAUGCAUUUACUCAUGAUUAGUUCAUCAUAUAGGGAUAAGCGACAAGCCUUUUAUAUUUGAUAUUUUUUUUGUUUUUUGACAAAAAGACUGUAAGGGAGGCCCCUACAGUAUAAUUGGUGCAACAAACCCAAAUUGCAAGUACCAUGCCUUGAAUCUGGGUGGGUGGGAAGGCAUCAACCCCUUCCCACCACUAGGCUAUGCCUUAGUUGCCCUUUUUUGAAUUAUGCCAAGUUUAUCCGAAUGAAGGCAGUAUGUAAUAGAGACAACUCCAUCUGCACUCCACACUGUUAUGAAGACAAAAAUGGUAUUAAGUGGUUAUUUGUACAAUUGUCUUUGAAAAUCUCAUCUCCUACUUACAUUUUACUCUAAAAGACUCAUACAACAGGAAAUUAUAUAUUCUUAUACUUCCAUAAGGUUUGUAAUUUUUGGGGGAAUCUCCCAUCUACCAAGUGGUCACAGACAAGGCUUAGUAGUCCUGUUAACAAUAUUUAUUUCUUAGCAUCUCGGGCCAAUGUCAAAUGAUUGGCUUUCCAACUACUUAUUUUGCCAUAUAUUUUUCAUAGUUAUUCUAUUACUAGAUAAUUGCAUGUGUAUUGAAGCAAGAUACAUUAUUUGCACGUCACCCAUGCCUCAUGAUAAAGAACAUUUUUAUUCACUCAUAAUGUCACAUCUAGAGAAUAAUCUCACGAUAAAAAACAUUUUUAUUGACUCAUAAUGUAGUGUCUACAAAAUACAAUCGCCAUGAGCACACAGACUUUGCAUGACUAGUACGCACACAAGCAACACCAACACACAGAUGCCCCCCCCCACACCCACCCACCCACCCACACACACACACACAAAGCAAGAAAACAAAAAACACAAAAUCCAAAAGUCCCAAGGCGAACUGAAACAUGUGGAAACAACCAUCAACAUCAACCACCAUUGAUGACAACAACUAAGAUAUGUGAAAGAUGCUUCAACAAUGACACCUUUAAGAAGUAACAAAACCCAUCUAAUGCCGUCAUCAAAUCCAGCCAUGGACACUAGAUCACGGGUUUUCGUCCUGAAGAAAAAUCCAAACAAACUCCGGACAAUGCCUUCAACAAGGGAAUGCCAUGAACACUAUCAUUGACAGGUACAAAUGAAGCAUUUGAAACCUGAAGCUUUCACUCGAAAGCAUGUGAGACUUUAGUAAAAAGCACCACCAAACUCACAUCAUCCCGUACCGCCAUUCCCACUUGCAAUGAAAGGAGCCACCGUUGCAAGCUAGGCCUUCACACCUCGACAAGAGUAUAUGCUUGCAACAUGCCCUCCAUUUAGCGUCACUAUUUGUUAUUAUAAUUUACUCUUUAUCAAUGAUAUUUUUCAUAUUAUUGCUCAAUUCUAAUGCCCUUUUCUCACUGAUUUGUAUGUAAUACACGGAGAGGAAAAUUCUUAGGAAUUUAGCGGGCAGCUGGAAAUCAGGGUAAAAUAUACAACAGAAGAAAAGUGUUGUCCACGUACCCUCGUAGACCGUAAACGGAAGCGUUAUGACAGCGCGGUUGAUGUAGUCGUACGUCUUCAUGAUUCGUCCGAUCCUAGUACCGAAAGUACGACACCUCCGUGAUCUGCACGCUUCGACUCAGUGACGUCCCACGAACUCUCGAUCCAGCUAAGUGUCGAGGGAGAGCUUCGUCAGCACGACGGUGUGAUGAUGAAGCUACCGGCGCAGGGCUUCGCCUAAGCAGUACGACGAUAUGACCGAGGUGGAUUAUGGUGGAGGGGGGCACCGCACACGGCUAAGAGAUCAAUGAUCAAAUUGUGUGUCCUAGGGUGCCUCCUGCCCCCGUAUAUAAAGGAGCAAGGGGGGAGGCCGGCCGGCCCUUGGGGCGCGCCAGGAGAGGAGGAGUCCUCCUAGUAGGAGUAGGACUUCCCUUUCCUAUUCUUACUAGGAGGAGGAAAGGAAGGAGGAGAGGGAGAAGGAAAGGGGGGCGCCGUCCCCCCAUCCCUAGUCCAAUUCGGACUAGAGGGGGGGCGCGGCCUGCCCUGGCUGGCCCUCUCUGUAUCUCNNNNNNNNNNNNNNNNNNNNNNNNNNNNNNNNNNNNNNNNNNNNNNNNNNNNNNNNNNNNNNNNNNNNNNNNNNNNNNNNNNNNNNNNNNNNNNNNNNNNNNNNNNNNNNNNNNNNNNNNNNNNNNNNNNNNNNNNNNNNNNNNNNNNNNNNNNNNNNNNNNNNNNNNNNNNNNNNNNNNNNNNNNNNNNNNNNNNNNNNNNNNNNNNNNNNNNNNNNNNNNNNNNNNNNNNNNNNNNNNNNNNNNNNNNNNNNNNNNNNNNNNCUUCCGGUGUCCGAAUAUAGUCGUCCAAUAUAUCAAUCUUUAUGUCUCGACCAUUUCGAGACUCCUCGUCAUGUACGUGAUCAUAUCCGAGACUUUGAACUACCUCUAGUACAUCAAAACACAUAAACUCGUAAUACCGAUCGUCACCGAACGUUAAGUGUGCGGACCCUACUGGUUCGAGAACUAUGUAGACAUGAUCGAGACUCAUCUCUGGUCAAUAACCAAUAGCGGAACCUCGAUGCUCAUAUUGGUUCCUACAUAUUCUACGAAGAUCUUCAUCGGUCAAACCGCACAACAACAUACGUUGUUCACUUUGUCAUCGGUAUGUUACUUGCCCGAGAUUCGAUCGUCGGUAUCUCAAUACCUAGUUCAAUCUUGUUACCGACAAGUCUCUUUACUCGUUCUGUAAUGCAUCAUCCCACAACUAACUCAUUAGUCACAUUGCUUGCAAGGUUUAUAGUGAUGUGCAUUAUCGAGAGGGCCCAGAGAUACCUCUCCGAUACACGGAGUGACAAAUCCUAAUCUCGAUCUAUGCCAACUCAACAAACACCAUCGGAGACACCUGUACAUCAUCUUUAUAGUCACCCAGUUACGUUGUGACAUUUGAUAGCACACUAAGUGUUCCUCCGGUAUUCGGGAGUUGCAUGAUCUCAUAGUCAUAGAACAUUUAUAAGUUAUGGAGAAAGCAAUAGCAGUAAACUAAACGAUCAUCGUGCUAAGUUAACGGAUGGAUCAAAUCAAUCACAUCAUUCUCUAAUGAUGUGAUCCCGUUAAUCAAAUGACAACUCAUGUCUAUGAUUAGGAAACAUAACCAUCAUUGAUUCAACGAGCUAGUCAAGUAGAGGCAUACUAGUGACAUAUUGUUUGUCUAUGUAUUCAACAUGUACUAAGUUUCUGGUUAAUACAAUUCUAGCAUGAAUAAUAAACUUUUAUCAUGAUAUAAAUAAAUAUAAAUAACAACUUUAUUAUUGCCUCUAGGGCAUAUUUCCUUCACUUGAGACCUCUCGAAGGAUUGAAAGCUUCAAGAAUUUCACCAUUGCAUUUAACGGGGUACCAUAUCAAGCACACACAACUCCUCAACCCAUCUAGUCCAUCUCUCACAGAAACCAAUCUAAGUAAAGACUCAAGGAAUCUCAAGUCGACGUGAUCGUACACCUUAGCGGAAUGAAGCUUGUAGGCGCAAUGGGUGUUCUGAGGGUUCCUUGUGUGAUGGAUCUUAUGAAUUUUUUUGAGAGCGAUCAUCCUCCCUAGAGUGAAUGCAAUCUUAUGAAAACACUUCAACCGAUCAUAGCAUUCUCAGUGAUCAUCCUCCCUAUGGAAUGAAUGCAAUAUUGUGAAAACACUUGAAACUGAUCAUAGCAUUAUCAAUGAUCAUCCCCUGGAAUGAAGGCGUUUUGAGUUUCAGAAAUAAUCUCAUCAAGGAGAGGGCGUAACUGGUUAACCAUGCACUUUGAGACCACCUUGUUAUAAUAUGGCUAUUUGGGUGGUAAUCUAUCAUGCACCUCAAGACCACCUUGUAAAUAACGCCACAGAGGCUGAUUGGGUUGUAAUCUUUCAAAAAUUGCGGAUUAAUUCAUUUAGGAAUUGUUAGAGUAUAUAGGCAUAUCCCUGUAUGUGGUAGACUAUAAUUUGUAAUUAUCUUCAGCCUUAUCUCUAGGGGAGACUUCCUGCUGUUCAAGCCUUGUACUCUAUAUAAAUCGCCCGAGAGGCUCAAUACAAUAUCCAUCGAUUCCAUCAAUCCUCUCCUUCUAUUCCCUGUAUCAUUGACUUGCUUUGGCAUCACACCCUCUUAAAAAACCUGCACUGCACUACUUCCUUGUUUAGCGUGUUACAAUUCCGCUGAAGGAGCCAAACGGGUCCACGGCGGAAACCCCCUCCGCCCCGUGUCGCCUUCCCCUGGCGACACGGGGGAAACCCUGACAGCCGCCGCCGUAAGGCCUCUCCUCCUCCUGCCCCCGCAUCGCCGCCGCCAAAGGGCGGGCCGGCGAAGCCGCGCCGCGCCCCGGGAUGGCGGCGGCGGGGCGGAUCCACUUCCCCGCGCGCGGCGCCACCCCUUCCCCACGUCCCCGAGAACCAGAUGCGGCGUCCUCCACCCCCCCCUUUGGCUGCUACCCCUGCCGGUCCGGCGGCCGUCCAGUGGCGGGCGUCCGGCAGCGUGCCAUGGGGCAUCCUGGCUGCUCCUCCCCCGCCGCCCCCGCUAUGGCGCAGCCAUGUUGGCCUCGGGUUGGUGCGGUUCUGUGUCCAGGUGCGGGCUGGCCUCGAUUGGCCGGACCUCGUCUCCGGUGGUGCUCCUCCCUCCCUCGAGCUGCAGUGACGGCUCCACCAUGGUGGCUUGUUGAGGUUACGGUGGUUGCAUCCCCAACGGCGGCUGCCUUUGACGGUGCGUCAGCCUGGCGGCUUGGUGGACGAGUGGCACCCUGCAGUGAGUUUGCCGGCGUUGUUCCGGCCCUGAUGGCCUUGGACCUGCGUUCUCCGGUGUCCGUGGCCUGCGGCGCCUCUGCCGACGCCGCUCCGGCCCCAAUGACCAAGUAGCCGCAUUCUCCUCUAGCAUACUCUGCUCGUCGAUGUCCUGUUGGCUAUGGCCCCGAUAGCUGGGAUGUGCGUUCCUCCAGCUCCUAGCUUGCCGGCGUCGCCGGUUGCCGAUGAUUACUCCCUGCAGAUUUUUCUCUGCCUCCUCGCGUCCUCGACGCCGUAUACCUCCACGCCUCACCUUGAGCCAGAACCAAUGGUCGUGUGUCCGAUGGCGCACUGUGCCAUCCUCCAGCGGCAGGUGCAACCCCACCGACCCUUUCUUGACGUGACAGUUUCGACCGGCAGUGACUUCCUCAUCAUAGAGUCCAUAUUCGAUGGCUAUGGGAUAUCUUAGACUCAGGCCAAGGAGAAAUCCUUGCUCGGCUAGCCCGUGCUAGCAGCGGCGUCAUUCACGGGUGUUGUUUUCCCUUCUUGAAGGCGCUGUCAUGGCCUUCAUCUGUGCCCCUCUUCGAGCUCAGGGGAAACCCUAGGUCCGGUUCUCCGGAUCGGAUGGCGCCGGCGUCUCGGCGCCGUUCUCCUUCUUGAAGGCGCUAUCUUGUUCGCUUGUGGUUGUCCCUGGUGGUGACUUUGCCGAUGUUAAAUCCAUUACUUGUUCGGUCUGCCUCUCUUGUUGGGUCUUGAUGGGUUUAGCUGUGUGUAUCCUCUGUUCUGGACCAAGCAUCCCUUGUUCCUUUGCUCCGUGCAGCAUGUUCGCACCUUCUUGCAUUUGUGUCAUGUAUUCUACCUAACUUUGUACCCAUUCUAUUUCCUUCUAUCAAUGAAAGAUACGUAAGCUUUGCGUAUUCGCGAAAAAAGCAAUUCCACUGAAAAAAUCGAGCUGGGAAACCACCCCCUCUCCCCACACCCGCCAUUCUAAGGCGAUAUAUCUCGCGUCUAUGGAAGCUCAUUUCCGAGACAUGAUAACCGCUGGAGGACACUCCAUGUAAUGCUCUAAAUGAAAAUUAGACAAGCCAUCUUCACACAAGGAAACCAACAUCGCUACGUGGGGCUAUAAACCGAGCUAAACAAGAAAAAAAUGAAAAGGUAGCAGAUGAAGGCACAUAUCCACGCGUAUUGUUGCAUGUGAUCUGUGAGUUAGAUCACCGGUUCUUCCAAGAUAUAUACUACAACUCAAAAAAAGAAAAGAUACUACGUCCAAACCUCUUGAACGUCAGUAAUUUGCACAGCACGCGAAAGACUAGCGUGAAUCGCGCGCGCAUCUCCCAUGUCCUAGGAAGAUCACAUCCCCAUGCGUAGUUACCAACCACAAGCCCACGAUAUGGGAUCUCCCAAAUCUGCACUGAUCUAGGCUUAAGCACCUUCCGAUCUCAUUUUUCAACGCAUUAAGCACCCCCGGGAUAUGGAUAGAUCACAUCACUUGCAUCGCACGUAUGCAACCUGCGAGGCUGCGAUUACCCCGAUGCAGUCCUCACGCGCCGGUCGAAAUGCGCCAACGAUUCACGAGGCGGAGGCAACUAAUUAAACUCGGAUCGAUCGAUCGAUCUAGGAGUACUUACUCAUCUGCGGAUAUAUAUUGAUCCGCGGAUCUUCAAGUCCUUGCAUAAUCUACGUGCAGAUCAGGCUAUGAUCCUGAUACGAUUUCUCCGCUUCCCAGCUGCCUCCCGUUUUGUAUAUGCAUAUUGCUGAGGCUCUUUCCGCUGUCACGGAGUACGUCAACUACACGAGUUGGCGAUUUUGUUAAUGAUUAGCAGCCCAAGAUGGCUGGGCCUGGGCGUACUCGGGCGCAUGAUGGGAUCGAAUCAUGUAUGCUUGUGCAUGCUAGCUAGCUGUGACAGUGAUGCCGACGCAAAUUGCAGGGCUCGCGACAAGCGUGGAUCCCCUUUAAAACACCCUCACCCAACGCGUGGGCACUAUCAUAUUGUCCACAACCCCUGUUGGCCAGGAGCUCCACGAGUGGCCAUCUCCCACCAGAUCUUCAUAUACAGCCACUGACAUGUGAGCCGGGUGGAUCCAAUUUAAAAUCUCCGCGGAGGGAAAGACAUCCAGGCUCGGUAUUUUAAUUUUAAUGGACACGAUCGCGCGAUCAAGGGGGGAAAAGUCACGUCCUACUUGGCGAGGGCGAUCGUUCUUGGAAGCUGGAGAUGUGGCUUAGAAAAUCGCCGCGGCAGAUCGGCCUGAAUCUUUCCAAGGAUCUCGUCCAGCUAGCGCCCCGUCGACGAUGGAUCACCAAUAAUCAAUGGCGCCCUCAUGGACUCCUACUUGUAUAUAUAUGCGCGCCCUGCUGGCUGUCGCUGUUGGUGAGUCGCCAUCGUCGGUGUAUAUAAACGCAUUGUUGCAUAGCACGCGGGUGAUACUAUAUGGGGAGCAGCAGCGUCGACGGAGCCGGCGAGAUGUGCUUGGAGGCUGGCGCCGGCAGGGCGGGGAGGCGCGGCGGGAAGAAGGCGGCGGAGAUGAAGGCCGCCAAGCAGCCGCAGCGCGGGCUCGGCGUCGCGCAGCUGGAGAAGAUCCGGAUGCAGAACCAGAUGAUCGCCGCGUACCGCUCCGGCCUGCCUCCGCCGCCUCCGCCGCAGCAGGUGCCGUACGCCGCAGUCCCGACGGCCGGCGCCGCAUCGUCUUUCCAGCCCUAUCUAGCUGUAAGUACCUACUUGAAAAUCGAAAUGCUGCAUGCAUCAGAUGACAUGUAUGCGUAGCUUAAGCUUACCUUUGUGCGCGCGCGUGGUUUCUCAGGGUUGCUUUGAGGCGAUGGACCGGAGGAUCGCUGACGUGCAGUACAGCCAGUACUACGCGGAGAACCUGCUGCCUAACAGCUCCAGCCGGCCGCCGUCGACGUCGCCGCUCUUCGUCGUCCAUGACUCGUCGUCGUCAGGACAGAGGCAGCAGCAGACGCCUCACGAGUACGACUACUGGAUGCGCCACAGCCACGAGUCCAGCGGCCGCGGCGGCGCCGGAAGCACGGAAGAGCUAGAUCUGGAGCUGAGGCUGUAGGAGACGCCACGGUGAGCUCGAUAGAUCGAAGUGUCUACUCUAAUUAAUCAUGUGUCCGUGCAUGCAUGGGCGAAGCGCCAUGCGGGAGAGAGGGAGAGGAUCAGAGGAGGGGCUUAGAAUUAGAUUGAUCGAUUAGCUAUCAAACUGGCGGUGCCAGAGUUAGCUGCUGCUUAAUUUGCUGACGGAAUGGCUGAUGCUUUCGUUCUGGAACUGUGGGAUGACUGAUAAACGUACGCUGCCACGCGCGACCGAUACAUGCAUGUAAAUCUUGUUUAACACCUUAUUAAUUGAAAUGGUUACCAGUUUGUAGAGGAAACUUUACAUACAUGUGUUGCGUAGUACUUUCAAAUUGAUUUCAGACGGGGGAAUUUAAGCGGCCUAUAUGGCUGUGAUGUGCCUGUACUUGGGUCCAUCACUCUUUUCCUUCUUUUCUUUUCUUACCAGCAAACAUGUCUGUCCGUUGUAUCGGGAGAAAAAAUAUCUCAUGCCCCUGGCUCCAUAAGCAUAGUUCAAUACCCUCCUUCCAACAGAUCCAUAUUCUUUAUUAAAAAAAUCGUCCCACUCGUGUCGUCGCUUAUCCUCAUUCUCGUCCUUGCCGACUAUGACCAAGGUAUCAUCCGAAUGUGCUCAAUCUCAAGGUGAUAGGCUCGGCCAGCACACGACACACCUGUCGUUGAACCGAGCUGGCAUAAGAGAAUGUUUAUAACUUCAAAUUAAUCUAGUCGAGUUGGACGUGAGUGCCAUCCCCAACGAGCUACUCCCUACACUCGAUGCAUGUGCACGACUACAUAUUUGCAAGGAACUCGACUAUCCUAAAAGACGUGUAAGUUAAUAAGACAUGGAGUAGUUGAAGCAGUUUUCAAGAAAAAACGGUCAAAAAAUCGGCAAAACCUAAAAUGGUGGAGGUGAGGUGGGAGAGAGGGAGUGCCGAGGAAAGAAAGAAGCACAUGAUAGAACCCUGCAUAUUCUUAGUUCUUACUUAAUCUUAUAACAAUAUAAUGACAGGUAAAUCAUGUUGAUUGCAUAUAAAAUAUUUAUGCCCCAUUGCUUCACACAUACAUUUUUUUUCUCUCUGGCGCAACAUAACUCUUAUGAGCCAAAAAUACGGAGGCGGUCCAACCCGGAAAGAGAGGAAGAAAAAACAAGUAAAGGCAUGUUCCAUCUUAUUACUCAUUGCCUAGCUCACAUGAUCUUUAUGCUACAAUUUUUCUGUCGCGAUGUAGCACAAAACAAUUAUUUUGAUAGUGUGGCUAGCCCAUAUGCUCGAUUUUCAACACAGACGGCAAGGUAAUAAAGCCUUGUUCUUCUAAAAAGAAUGAAUACGUAUGCAACACCUCCUUUUUCUUAACAUUUUGAUGAACUUCUGAAUUUCAUUGUAAUAAUUAAAAUCUACUAACAUCAACGAAAAGAAUGAAUACGUAUGCAACACCUCCUUUUUCUUAACAUUUUGAUGAACUUCUGAAUUUCAUUGUAAUAAUUAAAAUCUACUAACAUCAACGGGUUGUGGAUCUUGGAAACUAAUCGUGUUGCGUACUUGCGGAGCGAGGUAACAAUUUUCUAAACCAUAGAAUAAUGGGAAGGUUCAGGCUCCUCCUUCAUGAUCUUAACCUCAAGGAAUCUCCUCUGAUGGGAAGGCGGUACAUGUGGAGUAACGAGCAUCGUGCUCCUACGCUUGAAAAGAUUGAUCGCUGGUUCUCUACCAUUGAGUGGGACUUGACACAUCCAGAUUGUCUGAUGCAGGCCCUCUCCACGUCCAUCCAAUCAUUGCCCAUUAUUGAUCUCGACCAAUGUUGCGUUCUAUCGCAAAUCCCGGUUUCACUUCCAAUCGUUUUAGAUCAAGAUGGUGGGUUUUCAGAACAUCAUGGUUGAAGGUUUGCACUCCGUCUGGCCACAUAGUGAUCCUUUUGUGGAUCUUGUUGAUGGUGCACUACACCGGGGUGGCCCAGAGGCUAGGAAGCCCGACAGUGGGUUGGCCUCAGGGCUAAGGAGGCCUGAAGGAGGUCUAGCAGCCCGGGGGGCCUAGUUGGAGACCAAAAGACCAUCUUAGCGUUCAAGCUAAGAUGGCGGCCGCAUGAGAUCAGAUAGGUUCCGUGUAAACCCUAGCCCCUAUAUAAGGCGGGGCUAGGGGUAGCCAUUCCCAUAUACUCUGGUAGACUAGACUCUCGGUAGUCAUAUUCAUCAUCCUUGUAACUUCCUCGCACGAGGUGCUCCAUCAUCAAUAUAGAACAAUAAGAAUGAUGAUGACAUAGGGUAUUACCUCACUAUGAGGGUCUGGAACCUUGGUAACCCCCUUAUGCGAACCCCCUUAAAGCAUUUUCAGCCAAGCUAGCCACCGAUGACCCACAAGUAUAGGGGAUCGAUCAUGGUCCUUUUGAUGAGUAAGAGUAUCAAAUCCAACGAGGAGCAGAUGGAAUUGACAAGCGGUUUUCAACAAGGUUUCACUUCAAGUGUUGUAAGAUAAUUUCGAUAGACAGUUUGACAACAAGAUAGUUUGAACAAGGUAGCAAGUAACAAUAGUAACAAAGUGUGGCAAGUGGUCCAAUCCUUUAUUGUGCUAAGGACAAGCCGGCGAUACUUCUUAUAGUGAGUAAAACGCUCUUAAGGACACAUAGGAAUAUCGCCAAGUUACUUUUACCACGAUUCAUUGAGUUGAUGUUCAUUGCCUUGAUACGUCUUACGUAGGUGGACCGAGAUAAGGUAAUGUCCUUACUUGAACAAACACCUACUUAUGAUUAUACCAUGCAAGAAGCCGCAACUACAAAAGAAGUAAUUAAGAUAAAUCUAACCAUAGCAUUAAGCAAUUGGAUCCAGAACAACCCCUUACGAAAUAAUUCAUAAACUAGGGUUUAGGUUUCUAACACUCCCACAACCCAUCAUCUACAAACUAAUUCCACAAUGCCUUACCCUAGGCCCAAAGAUGGCGAGGUGUCAUGUAGUCGACGUUCACAUAACAUCACCAGAGGAACAAGAACACAACAUAAUAUCAAAACAAUGAACAGGAAUCAAAUUCACAUGAUUACUCACUACUGCAGGAUGCUGCUAACGCGAUACUAUAAUCAGAGACCCUUCGAUGAAACUGUGUGCGAUGCAAUAAUCGCAAACGUUGGUGUAAAAGAACCGUCAAAAAAGGUGCAAAAUGUUUGUGCUGGAGGAUGCAUCAAACAUGGUUCAGAUUUUAGUUGCGUGUGCGAUGCAGGGCAUACGGUUCAGUUCAAUGAACUAUUUGCGAUGAGGCGAAAGAAAAGAAACAGGUAGCCAUAUGAAGGCGUGUGCAAUAUACAACAUACGGUUCACUCGGAUGAACUGUUUGUGAUUAGGUAACACAAAAGAAGCAGUCAGCCAUAUCAAGGUGUGUGCGAUAUACAACAUGCGGUUCACUCGGAUGAACUGUUUGUGUUGAGACAAGAGAACAUAAACGGUUUAAUAUAACAAGAUAUGUGUGAUACGCGGCAAACAGGUUUGUAAUCAGAAAUGUGUGCAAAGACCGAUAAUAACACAGACGGUUGCUGCUAAUAAGACAUGGGUGUGUUGUGCGAUGGGAUUGCAUACAGAACAACAACAACAACACACACACACACACACACACACACACACACACACUUAUAAGGACAUGGUUGCAUAACCAAAUUAGACAUCCGCUUACAUAGGUGGCUACUACAAUUUGCACACACUAAAGUAAACUAUUACAUGCAUAAUUACAUAGGUGGCUACUACACACAUGAUAUUUCCACACACCAAUAAAGUAAACUAUAUAUUACAUGCAUGAUUAACUAGCAUAAACGAUCAUCUGAUCAUUAUCUACUUCUUGUGACGCUUGCUCUGCUUGUGGCUCGAUCCGGGCUCGUCGAUUUGGGUAACGAGGCACUCCCUCAUGUCAACGAUCCGUCUGUGCAUCUCGUAGCAUGUGUACACGCUCUUGGCCGCGAACCUGAGGUGAGGUUCAUCCAGUUGCCGCAUCUAGGCCCUGUGCUAGAAUAUGGGACUUGUUCUCUGGGCAUCCUGCUUCAUCUUUUCGUAGUAGGGUUCGAUGAUGGCUGAGGCGAGUUCGACCAGGGAGUCCUUCUUCGUGCUGCCCCAGACCCUGUAGUGGUCACGGAUUUCGACAAGGUUCUUGCAGGCCAAGCCCGUAACACUGAGCACUUUUACAUCGUCGGUGGUUUCCACCAUGGCGAACUUGUAGUUGGUGCUGUUGACAAACCUGUUGAAAUGGUCGCAAGGCUCUGUGGCCAUGCAGUAGUGGUAGAUAAGGACAUGAUGACGCACGCACAACUGGGCGAUGACAACCUUCUGAUCUAUGCCAGGACGACCGGUGGUGUACUGGAGGUCGAUGCCGACCACAUUGUACUUGUCUCGAGCAAGCAACUGCUCAACGCUGUUGAUGUAGUCGUCCACCACGGCCGGGUCGAUGGUGUACACCACUGAGAGAUCCGUCCCCCUCGCGUGGGUCUCCACUCUAUGCUCGCCGAACUCCAUUGGAGCGCCGCUAGACACCCCCUCUCUAUGUGUCGUCGUGGGUGUGCUUAUUGUGUUGUGGGACGCGAUCAAAAUGUUGAAGAGACUAAGCUUAUAAUGGCGGCGGGAAUUAAAGGGGAAGCCGGGCGGCCAGGAAUAUCGGCAGGCCCUGAUGGCAGUUAUAAUUUGCAGUGCGUAACUCCAUCGUGCCGUACGUAUCUGCAUCGCGUGGCAAUGCGUGGCGCAACCGCAUGCAUAUGGGGUCACCGACGUGAUCGUGCGCACGCCGAACCGCUGGCAGAGCAUGUGCGGAGGGAUUUGAGCAGAGCGCUCUGUGGUUGCCUCAAUGGCGAGCAACCACACACACACACACACACACACACACACACACACACACACACACACACACACACACACAUAUAUAUAUAUAUAUAUAUAUAUAUGCAUAUAGCAGUUGAACACACAAGGAAAAACUGUCCACAAGCCGAGCGCGUCGACGGACGCGAGCAGAGCGCACCGCGGCGCCUAACGGCGAGCAGAGCUUGCCAAGGGACGCGAGCAGAGGCCGGCACAGUGAUACGUGGCAUAUAGGACGAACUGUGCGAGCGAUGAGGGAGACAUCAAGCACGAGUCAGAUUAGAGUUGCGUGUGCGGUACGUGGCAUACAUUUGAUCCAUCCGAGUUGUUUAUGAUGGAAUAAGCCGUGUGUGUUGCGGGCAUACGCUUGCUGGUAUAUAAUCUUAAAUUUAAACAAAAAAGUGUUAAUGCAUGUUACAAAAAUUGUAUAACUGGAAACUAUGUUCAAAUACGAAUCCAACGAUAUAAUCUUUGGCGACAUGCAUUCGUAUUUUAUUAGUUAAAUCCUACUUAUAAACCAGGACUAGGGUAUAGUAGGUAAUUAAAUCGCAAAUGUUUUUUUGUAUUAACCGUAUGUGUACAUGUCCUUUCGUCCUCCUCUCGCAUGUCUUGUCACCCUGCAGCCGCAGAUGGCUUACAUCGCAAGCUUGCGCAGCGCGAGGGGGCGUUCUUUUGGCCAAACAGUGGCUCGAAGUGGCGCCAAUGAAUCAUCGGUGAGCCCAUUCCCGCGCAACCUCACAGGUUCCCGCCCGACUCGGUGAAAUCCGCCAAAAUCCCAAUGCUUUACCGGCCUGCUAUAUAAACCCUCAUGGCCGGCGAGUCCUGUGUCGCAUUUUCCCCUCCCUCCCUGUAGCUUAUCCCGUAUGCUUCUCCCAUAAUCGCCAAUGGCAUCGGUCGGUGUCAUCGUUGCUCAGCCACUACACUGUCAUCAGAGGACAGCUCCAGUUGGGAGGCUACACCGCGGCGGCGGCUCAGUCCCCGGCUUAAUGUAGUGCGUGUGGCGUCCCUAUUGGGUGUGCGUGGAACACCCACCACACGCUCCGCUGCCACUGCCCGUCGGCAGCUGUUGCCCGCCGUUGCCGCCACACCACUGUUGAAAGCCAGGGCCAUCGCCCGCUCCGCCACCGUGGCCCGAAGGCGGGAGGUGGCCGUCGUGGCCGCCACCCCACUGCCGGCCAUCACCCGCUCCACCACCGCGGCCCAAAGGCGGGAGGUGGCCGUCGUGGCCGGCAUCCCAUCAUAGGCCGCUGUGGCCGCCAGCCCACCGUCGACCAUCGGGAUCAUCACCCGCUCCGCCACCAUCACUCGAAGGAGGGAGGCGGAGGAGGAGGCCCGCACGUGCGUCAGCAACCUUGUGCACUACAUCGAGUUCCCGCGGGAGGAGGAGGAGCGCCUUGUCGAGCAUGCAAAGAGCCUUACCGUAGCCGUGGCCGCAGCACACGCCAACGCAGAGGCGAGGAAUCAGGAGAUCUAUGAGCAGUCCGGCCGCUUCGAGAGGGAUCGUCUGGAGCGACAGUGGGCGUUCGAGCUAGCGAGCGUCAUUGAACGUGCAGCAGCGGCAGGCACCAUAUUGCAUUUGUCCAGCUCGUCGAUAGGCUCCUCCUUCUCUGCCUCUUACUGAGCGCGCUCGACAAAGGAGAGGCUGCCGGAAGUAGCACAAAGCCCCUCUGUAGUAGUAGUAUUUAGGGGCUAUUUUGUUUAGUUCAUCUGACUAUAGAUGUGUGGUGGAACUGUACAACAUACUAGUAUAUAUAGUUGAACUAGCUAUUUCAGUACAUGGUUGGCAACAAUUGGGGAAAAGGUUGGUCAGUUCAGCUGUCGAGUUGAACUGUUUGUAUAAAUUAAGAACAACUGCUUAAUCUAUGAAUGAAAUCUAUGCUUAAUUACUGAAUUUUAGUUGCAAAAAUUAGAUAGUACUAGUGAUUUUUAGCUGCAUAUUUUGACAAAUCGCAGUGUUACAAGGAUUGACAAAUGGCAGUGUUACUAGAUCAACAAAUGUCAAUUUUUCCAGUUUGACAAAUGGCAACAUACCCAAUAUGAAAGAUGCAAAUCUUACCAAAUUGUUUGUACGUGGUUGCAUACGGGUCAUCCAAAACAACCGUUUGCGUUGAAGGGAUGCACAAAUCCUGCCUGCAAAUUUUCCCUCGACUUAAGGGGGAAGACUAUAGCUCUCACUUUGCAUACGAGUGUUCUAUCUAAAACAUUUGCGAUCUAGAGCUGCAGAAAUCCUGCUCGGCGCAUUUUCUCUUGGCUUCCUGGGGAAGCUGUCGGUUUGCAUACGGGUGUUCUAACUAAAAAGUUUGCGAUCAAGAGCUGCACAAAUCCUGCUAGGCACAUUUCCCUUGGCUUCCUGGGGAACUUGUCGGUUUUGCAUACGGUGUUCUAACUAAAACGUUUGCGGUGAGUGUUUUAUAUUUAAAAACCGUAUUAAACUGCGGCUUGGGCGCCACUAAUGGAGAGGAUGCGAGCAAGGCGUACGACCAUGGAAGUCAAAGGGCUCGCUUCCCGGUGAGCCUGCACGGCGUACAACUCGCACGCUUCUCGGUGAGCCUCCGCAUUGGAGUACAGCUCGCAUGCCUCCCAUUUAGUCAAGAACUCAAGCAUCUAUCCGCAUGACACCUCCUAGCCAUUAAAAGAGUGAGACGUGGCAUUACGUGAAUGGUUAACAGAAUGCACACAAUUUAAAUUAUACAAAAUGUUUGAGAUGUUACAGUGGCAGCUAUUUGUUUCAAAAUGCCUUUGUCGGCAGUUAUUCGAGUGCGCCUUCUCUCAAAAUGGACAUGAAAAAUACCACAACAUGUCGGGUGCCAUUCCAUUAUAGCAUGCCAAGUUUCAUGAAUUUCAGACGAAUUUUGGAUUUACUAGAAUUUAAAAAUCAAGUAUCUCAACAUUUUGCCGGCAAUCAACACUGCCCUGGUGUUUGAAAUUCAUUUCCAUUUCUUGCAUGGGACCUAAGCAUGCACCAAAGGAAAUAGAUUUGAUUUUCCAACCAAUUUAUAUGCACUGGAGCAUGUGCAUGUAGUUCAAAUUUGAAUUAUGCACAUAAAAUGCCUAGAAAGCCUAGUUCAUGUAUAAAAAUGUCGAAACGAACCCCAAAAAUUCCAGAAUUAAACACAACACUCUUGUUGUUCUACGUUGACACUAGAAAUUUUUUGAAAGCAAUAAGAGACAACAGAUAUCAUUUCGUCCCCAAAGGUGGCACGUUCCCUACCGAAACCAUCACGCUUGUUGUGAGAAGCCCUGGUUUGGGAGAAGCUUAUACCCAAACCUGCCCCAAAUGGGAAAAAUCUUUUACCACAACAUGUUGAUGCUGCUCCAUGAUAGCAUGCCAAGUUUCAUGAAUUUUAGAUGAGUUUUGGAUUUACUAGAAUUUAAAAACCAAAUAUCUCAAUGUUUGCGGCCGAGUGACAGUGGCAGGGUGUUUGAAAUUCAUUCCCAUUUCUUGCAUGGGACCUAAGCAUGCACCGAAGGACACAAAUUUGAUAUUUCAACCAAUUUAUAUGCACUGGAGUAUGUGCAUGUAGUUCCAAUUUGAAUUAUGCACCUAAAAAUGCCUGUAAAACCCAGUUAAUGUAUAAAAAUGUCCAAAUGAACCCCGAAAAAUUCCAAAAUUAAACACAACACUCUUGUUGUUCUAUGUUAACACUAGAAAAUUUUAGAAAGCAAUAAGAGGCAAUGGAUAUCGUUUUGUCCCCAAAGGUGGCACAUUCCCUACCGAAACCAUCACGCUUGUUGUGAGAAGCUCUAGUUUGUGAGAAGCUCUGGUUUGUGAGAAGCUUAUACCCAAACCUGGCCCAAAUGGAAUAAUUUUUUUACCAUGGCAUGUUGAUGCCGCUCCAUGAUAGCAUAUUUCAUGAAUUUCAAACGAGUUUUGGAUUUACUAGAAUCUAAAAACCAAGAUAUCAAUGUUUGCAGCCGAGUGACGGUGAUAGGGUGUUUGAAAUUCAUUUCCAUUUCUUGCGUGGGACCUAAGCAUGCACGGAAGGACACAAAUUUGAUCUUUCAACCAAUUUAUAUGCAUCGGAGCAUGUGCAUGUUGUUCAAAUUUGAAUUAUGCACCUGAAAUGCUUGGAAAACCAAGUUAAUGUAUAAAAAUGUCCAAACAAAGCCCGAAAAAUUCCAAAAUUAAACACAACACUCUUGUUGUUCUAUAUUGACACUAGAAUUUUUUUCAAAGCAAUAAGAGGCAACAGAUAUCGUUUCGUCCCCAAAGGUGGCACGUUCCCUACCGAAACCAUCACGCUUGUUGUGAGAAGCUCUGGUUUAUGAGAAGCUUAUACCCAAACCUGCCCCAAAUGGGACAAAAAUUUUACCACGACAUGUUGAUGCCGCUCCAUGAUAGCAUGCCAAGUUUCACGAAUUUCAGACGAGUUUUGGAUUUACUAGAAUUUAAAAACCAAGUAUCUCACUGUUCGCGGCCGAGUGAUGGUGGCAUGGUGUUUAAAAUUCAUUCCCAUUUCUUACAUGGGACCUAAGCAUGCACCGAAGGACACAAAUUUGAUUUUUCAACCAAUUUAUAUGCACUGGAGCAUGUGCAUGUAGUUCUAAUUUGAAUUAUGCACCUGAAAUGCAAGGAAAACCUAGUUAAUGUAUAAAAAUGUCCAAACGAACCCCGAAAAAUUCAAAAAUUAAACACAACACUCCUGUUGUUCUAUGUUGACACUAGAAAUUUUUUGAAAGCAAUAAGAGGCAAUGGAUAUCGUUUCGUCCCCAAAGGUGACACGGUCUCUACCGAAACCAUCACGCUUGUUGUGAGAAGCUUAUAUCCAAACCUGCCCAAAAUGGAACAUUUUUUUACCACGGCAUGUUGAUGCUGCUCCAUGAUAGCAUGCCAAGUUUCAUGAAUUUCAUACGAGUUUUGGAUUUACUAGAAUUUUAAAACCAAGUAUCUCAAUGUUUGCGGCCGAGUGACGGUGGCAGGGUGUUUGAAAUUUAUUCCCAUUUCUUGCAUGGGACCUAAGCAUGCACCGAAGGACACAAAUUUGUUUUUUCAACCAAUUUAUAUGCACUAGAGCAUGUGCAUGUAGUUCAAAUUUGAAUUAUACAUAUAAAAUGUGUGGAAAACCCAGUUAAUGUAUAAAAGUGUCCAAACAAACCCUGGAAAAUUCCAAAAUUAAACAAUCCUGUUAUUCUAUGUUGACACUAGAAUUUUUUUGAAAGCAAUAAGAGGCAACAAAUAUCGUUUCAUCCCCAAAGGUGGCACGUUCCCUACUGAAACAAUCACGCUUGUUGUGAGAAGCUCUAGUUUGGGAGAAGCUUAUACCCAAACCUGCUACAAAUGGGACAAAACUUUUACCACGGCAUGUUGAUGCCGCUCCAAGAUAGCAUGCCAAGUUUCAUGAAUUUCAGACGAGUUUUGGAUUCACUACAAUUUAAAAACCAGGUAUCUCAAUGUUUGCGGCUGAGUGACGGUGGCAGGGUGUUUCACAUUCAUUCCCAUUUCUUGCAUGGGACCUAAGCAUGCAACCAAGGACAUGUUUUUUAAACCCAUUUAUAUGCACUGGAGCAUGUGCAUGUAGUUCAAAUUUGAAUUAUGCACCUGAAAUGCCUACAAAACCAAGUUAAUGUAUAAAAACAUCCAAACGAACCCUGAAUAAUUCCAAUUUUUUGAUGACACACCUAUAGUUGUAUGUUCACUGCAAAUAAAAGUUCUACCAAUUCAAACACCAUCCUUUGCAGCUGUGACCCCAUUUCGUAAUUCAAAUCAAGGCAAAAAAUCAAGUAGAUCGUGCACAGUUUAUUAUCGCCAACCAUGUGAUAUGCAUCACAAAAUAUCUUGGAGCACCGUCGGAGUGUCAAGCACACUAGCCCACUCCUCAAAUAUCAUUUCACUGUUCAAUCGUCGCUAGUGAAAGAUGGGGACAUGGACCCGCGUCGUGAGGGAAACUUCGGCGGCCCACUCCAGCGAGAGCGCGGCCGCAACCGCCAGGCGCGUGCUAACAAGCUUCGUGAGGGUGAACACAAUCUACGUCCGGGCGGCCAAGGCAGCCCAAACGGCUGUUGUUGCUUCUCAGGCGGCGGCAGUAGCAUCUGCCUCGGGGAUAACAACUAGCGAGAGCGGCACACCAGCUGUUCGUUCUGCAGUGGCGGCCUUAGCCUUGAUGGAGGCAGCCCACCACCAUGUCGAGGCCGUCCAUGCCCAGCUCGUGGCGGUCACCGCACAAAUCGAACGAAGCUUCUCUGGCAAUGGUUGGCAACCCACGGCCCAAGAGUUGGCAAUCGUUGAGAGAGUUCGAGCAGCCAUCCGUUCCUGCGCGGCAUACCUCGCCACGACGGAGCCUGCCAAAGCCUAGAUAGCGGCCGCCCACGCCAACUUGUGGCGGCCUAUUCCAAAGAUAUGGCAGACGCGGAUGGCGAGAUGCUUGUCGAGUAUGGUGCAAUUGAUGCCAUGGAGCCCCUUCCCCAGGAGACCGUCGGGCGCGAGCUGGACAUGGAGGCGGCGGCGGAGAUCGACGAGCACCAGCCGUAGUAGUACUCUUUGUUUUGUUUAAUUAAGAGCGUCGGUCUUUAAUUUGUUAGAGUAAUGUUUAGGUCAGCUAGCUCUGUUUAAUUGCUGAACUUGGUCGAUUAAGAAGUCUGGGUGUGAAGGAAAUAUGCCCUAGAGGCAAUAAUAAAGUUGUUAUUUAUAUUUCCUUAUAUCAUGAUAAAUGUUUAUUAUUCAUGCUAGAAUUGUAUUAACCGGAAACUUAUUACAUGUGUGAAUACAUAGACAAACUGAGUGUCACUAGUAUUCCUCUACUUGACUAGCUCAUUAAUAAAAGAUGGUUAAGUUUCCUAGCCAUGGACAAAGAGUUAUCAUUUGAUUAACGGGAUCACAUCAUUAGAGAAUGAUGUGAUUGACUUGACCCAUCCGUUAGCUUAGCACGAUGAUCGUUUACUUUGUUGCUAUUGCUUUCUUCAUAACUUAUACAUGUUCCUAUGGCUAUGAGAUUAUGCAACUCCCGAAUACCAGAGUAACACUUAGUGUGCUAUCAAAUGUCACAACGUAACUAGGUGGUUAUAAAGAUGCUCUACAGGUGUCUCUGAUGGUGUUUGUUGAGUUGGCAUAGAUCGAGAUUAUGAUUUGUCACUCCGAUUAUCGGAGAGGUAUCUCUGGGCCCUCUCGAUAAUACUCAUCACUAUAAGCCUUGCAAGCAAUGUGACUAAAGAGUUAGUUACGCGAUGAUGCAUUACGGAACAAGUAAAGAGACUUGCCGGUAACAAGAUUGAACUAGGUAUUGAGAUACCGACGAUCGAAUCUCGGGCAAGUAACAUACCGAUGAUAAAGGAAACAACGUAUAUCGUUAUGCGGUUUGACCGAUAAAGAUCUUUGUAGAAUAUGUGGGAGCCAAUAUGAACAUCCAGGUUCCGCUAUUGGUUAUUGACCGGAGACGUGUGUUGGUCAUGUCUACAUAGUUCUCGAACCCGUAGGGUCCGCACGUUUAACGUUCGGUGACAAUCGGUAUUAUGAGUUUAUGUGUUUUGAUGCACCGAAGGUAGUUUGGAGUCCCGGAUGUGAUCACGGACAUGACGAGGAGUCUCUAAAUGGUCGAGACAUAAAGAUUGAUAUAUUGGAUGACUAUAUUCGGACACCGGAUGAGUUCCGGGGGUCACCGGAUAAUUAUCGGAGUGCCGGGGGGUUAUCGGAACCACCGGGGGAACUAAUGGGCCAACAUGGGCCUUGUGUGAGAGAGAGGAGGGGCCAUAGGGCUGUCCGCGCCCCCGCUUGGGAGUUGGACUAGGAAAGUGGGAGUCCUACUCCUACUAGGAGGAGGACUCCUCCCCCUCAUUGGCGCGCCCCAUGGCCGGCCUCUCCCUUGCUCCUUUAUAUACGGGGGCAGGGGGGCACCCUAGAGCACACAAGUUGAUCAUUGAUCCCUUAGCCGCGUGCGGUGCCCCCCUCCACCAUAAUCCACCUCGGUCAUAUCAUCGUAGUGCUUAGGCGAAGCCCUGCGACGGUAGCUUCAUCAUCACCGUCAUCACGCCGUCGUGCUGACGAAGCUCUCCCUCGACACUCAGCUAGAUCGAGAGUUCGUGGGACGUCACCGAGCCAGACGUGUGUAGAUCGCGGAGGUGCCGUACUUUCGGUACUAGGAUCGGUCGGAUCAUGAAGACAUACAACUACAUCAACCGCAUUGUCAUAACACUUCCGCUUACGGUCUACGAGGGUACAUGGACAACACUCUUCCCCUCUCGUUGCUAUGCAUCACCAUGAUAGAUCUUGCGUGUUCGUAGGAAUUUUUUUUGAAAUUACUGCGUUCCCCAAUAGUGGUAUCAUAGCCAGGUUUAUGCGUAGAUGUUAUAUGCACGAGUAGAACACAAAGGAGUUGUGGGCGUGGGUAUGUACAUAUUGCUUGCCGUCACUAGUUGUUUCUUGAUUCAGUGGUAUUGUUGGAUGAAGCGGCCCAGAUCGACAUUACACGUACGUUUACGCGAGACUGGUUCUACCAACAUGUUUCGCACACAGGUGGCUGGUGGGUGUCAGUUUCUCCAACUUUAGUGAAUCAGGUUCAAUGAACCGGGUUCUUUCUGAAGAUCAAAAAACAAUCACUAUACCGCGUUGUGGUUUUUGAUGCGUAGGUAAGAACGGUUCUUGCUCAGCCCGUAGCAGCCACGUAAAACUUGCAACAACAAAGUAGAGGACGUCUAACUUGUUUUUGCAGGGCAUGUUGUGAUGUGAUAUGGUCAAGACAUGAUGCUAAAUUUUAUUGUAUGAGAUGAUAAUGUUUUGUAACACAAUUAUCGGCAACUGGCAGGAGCCAUAUGGUUGUCGCUUUAUUGUAUGAAAUGCAAUCACCAUGUAAUUGCUUUACUUUAUCACUAAAUGGUAGUGAUAGUCGUAGAAGCAAUAGUUGGCGAGAUGACAAUGAUGCUUCAAUGGAGAUCAAGGUGUCUAGCCGGUGACGAUGGUGAUCAUGACGGUGCUUUGGAGAUGGAGAUCAAAGGCACAAGAUGAUGAUGACCAUAUCAUAUCACUUAUAUUGAUUGCAUGCGAUGUUUAUCCUUUAUGCAUCUUAUUUUCCUUAGUUCGGUGGUAGCAUUAUAAGAUGAUCUCUUGAUACGUCUCCGUCGUAUCUAUAAUUUUUGAUUGUUCCAUGUCAAUAUUAUUCAACUUUCAUAUACUUUUUGGCAACUUUUUAUAUUAUUUUUGGGACUAACAUAUUGAUCCAGUGCCCAGUGCCAGUUCCUGUCUGUUGCAUGUUUUUGGUUUCGUAGAAUAUCCAUAUCAAACGGAGUCCAAACGGGAUAAAAACGGACAGAGCUUAUUUUUGGAAAAUAUGGAAAAUUUGGAAGGAAAAUCAACGCGAAUCAGUGCCCGAGGUGGUCACGAGGCAGGGGGCGCGCCCUACCCUCGUGAGCCCACCGUAAGGCGGUUGACGCUCUUCUUCUGCCACAAGAAAGCUAAUAUUCGGAAAAAAAUCACGGCGAAGGUUUCAGGCCAAUCGGAGUUACGGAUCUCCAUAUAUAUAUAUAUAUACGAAACGGUGAAACAGAGCCAGAACAGAACGCAGAACCAGAGAGAAACAGAGAGAUAGAUCCAAUCUCGGAGGGGCUCUCGCCCCUCCCAUGCCAUGGAGGCUAAGGACCAGAGGGGAAACCCUUCUCCCAUCUAGGGAGGAGGUCAAGGAAGAAGAGGAAGAAGGGCCCCCUCUCCCCCUCUCCUCCGGUGGCGCCGGAACGCCACCGUGGCCAUCAUCAUCACCGCGAUCUUCACCAACACCUCCACCAUCUUCACCAACAUCUCCAUCACCUUCCCCCCUCUAUCUACAGCGGUCCACUCUCCCACAACCCGCUGUACCCUCUACUUGAACAUGGUGCUUUAAGCUUCAUAUUAUUAUCCAAUGAUGUGUUGCCAUCCUAUGAUGUCUGAGUAGAUUUUCGUUGUCCUAUCGGUGGUUGAUGAAUUGCUAUGAUUGAUUUAAUUUGCUUGUGGUUAUGUUGCUGUCCUUUGGUUCCCAUCAUAUGAGCGCGUGCGUGGAUCACACCAUAGGGUUAGUUGUAUGUUGAUAGGACUAUGUAUUGGAGGGCAAGAGUGACAGAAGCUUCAACCUAGCAUAGAAAUUGAUGCAUACGGGAUUGAAGGGGGACCAAUAUAUCUUAAUGCUAUGGUUGGGUUUUACCUUAAUGAAUGUUAGUAGUUGCGGAUGCUUGCUAAUAGUUCCAAUCAUAAGUGCAUAGAAUUCCAAGUAAGGGAUAACAUGCUAGCAGUGGCCUCUCCCAGAUAAUACUUGCUAUCGGUCUAAUAAAGUAGUCAAUUUCUUAAGUGACAAUUUCGCAUCUCCUACCACCACUUUUCCACACUCGCUAUAUUUACUUUAGUUGCUUCUUUACCUUAACAGCCCCUAGUUUUAUUUUCGUGCUCUUAAUUAUCUUGCAAACCUAUCCAACAACACCUACAAAGUACUUCUAGUUUCAUACUUGUUCUAGGUAAAGCGAACGUCAAGCGUGCGUAGAGUUGUAUCGGUGGUCGAUAGAACUUGAGGGAAUAUUUGUUCUACCUUUAGCUCCUCAUUGGGUUCGACACUCUUACUUAUCGAAAAUUGUUGCGAUCCCUAUACUUGUGGGUUAUCAAGACCUUUUUCUGGCGCCGUUGCCGGGGAGCAAUAGCGUGGGGUGAAUAUUCUCGUGUGUGCUUGUUUGCUUUAUCACUAAGUAAUUUUUAUUUGCUGUUCUUAGUUGUUUCCUAUCUUCAGUUAUGGGUAGGAAACGCAAAAUACCAAAAAAAUUAGUUGUACCUACUGAACCAAUGGUUGAAGAACCAAUCAAAAUCUAUCACACUGCUGAAGCUUAGUACUUGGAUCAUCUUCGAUCCCUAUGUGCUCAUGCUGAAACCCCAACUAGCUUAGUUGAGGGCAAAUCAUUAGAUGAGCAUGCUUGUUAUGUGCGACACCGUAUAUCUAAAAAAGGGAAAUUAUUAUGGAGUCAGAUUCAACGUUUGCAAUGCUAUGCUUGGAAUUUAUGUGAAUUAUAUGAUUUUACUUGUUGUUCUGAAAACCCUAAGAAACACCUUCCCUACCAAUGUGAGUUUAUUGAUAAUGGAAUCUUAUCUUCUAAUGCUAAAGGUGUUUAUAGUUACUAUGAUGUUCAACAAAUUGAAGAAUUUGUUGCUUUAGAGGGUGCUUAUGAAAUUGCUUCUUUGAUUGAAAAGUAUGAUGCUACUUUUCAUAAAUCUAAAUUUUUUGCUAUACUUAAAUAUUGCUAUGAUAAUUAUGCUUCUAAUACGUAUGUUAAACAAUAUAUUGAGGAAUACUCCGCUGUCCAAGAAGAGACUAAUAUUUUGCAGGAAUCUAUGGAAGAAGAAGUUGAUGACACUAUGAGCUCAUUGGAUGAAAAAGAUGAGGAGGAGAGCGAAGAACAAAAGGAGGAAGAGCGGAUUGAUCACCCGUGCCCACCUUCUAAUGAGAGUAACUCUUCAACUCAUACAUUGUUUAAUUCCCCUUCGUGCUUACCGAAGGAUGAUUGCUAUGAUGAUUGUUAUGAUCCCUAUGAUUCUUUUGAAAUAUCCCUUUUUGAUGAUGCUUGCUAUGAUUAUGGCCAAGAUGCCAAUAUGAAUUAUGCUUAUGGAGAUGAACUUGCUAUAGUUCCUUAUGUUAAACAUGAAAUUGUUGCUAUUGCACCCACACAUGAUAGUCCUAUUAUAUUUUUGAAUUCUCCCGAUUAUACUAUAUCGGAGAAGUUUGCACUUAUUAAGGAUUAUAUUGAUGGGUUGCCUUUUACCGUUGCACAUGAUGAUUUCGAUAAAUAUAAUAUGCAUGUGCUUGCUGCUCCUACUUGCAAUUAUUAUGAGAGAGGAACUAUAUCUCCACCUCCCUAUGUUUCCAACAUGAUAAAAUUGCAAGAAACUGUUUAUACUAUGCAUUGACCUUUACUAGGUGUGCAUGAAUUGUUCUUUUAUGACAUGCGAUGCAUAGGAAGAGAGUUAGACUUCGUCAUUGCUUGAUAUAUGUUGCUUUGAGCUCACUACUAAAUUACAAAUCAUUGUUAAUUAAAAUUGGCUUUGAUAUACCUUGGGAUCCGGGUGGAUUCACUACUUGAGCACUUUAUGCCUAGCUUAAUGGCUUUAAAGAAAGCGCUGCCAGGGAGACAACCCGGAAGUUUUAGAGAGUCAUUUAUUUCUGUUGAGUUCUUUCAUAUAGUUUUAAAACAACAAAAAUAAAGAGGGGAACCCAAAACUUUUUCAAAAAGGAAAGUGAAAGUGAGAAAGACAAGCACUGUUGAAGUGGGAGAGCUCCUUGAACUUUGUUCAUGCUCACGGCAACUUUGUGAAUCUUGAUUACAUAAACUUUUCAACAAAAAUAAUUACCCCUUGUACAAUUCCAUUGUAUUAUAAAAAUAAUGUGCCAAGGUUUGCCUUUAGGAUGUUUACGAUGCGUGUUGGUUUGUACUGUGCAGGACAAAAACUUUGGCUGUAGUGCGCGAUUUUACAUUUUUAGCUGGAACGUCAAAUGGUUCUGAUUCUUUUUGCACUGUCUUCCUAUACAAAUUGUUUAUUUUUACUAAUUUUUGCAGAACUUUUCAAGUAUCAUAAGUAUGGUGAAUGUUCACAUUAUUACAGACUGUUCUAUUUUAGUCAGAUUCUGUUUUUGAUGCAUAGUUUGCUUGUUUUGAUGAAACUAUCAAUUUAUAUUAGUGGAUUAAGCCAUGAAAAAGUUAUAUUACAGUAGACACAAUGCAAAAACAAAAUAUGAAUUGGUUUGCAACAAUACUUAGAGUAGUGAUUUAUUUUAUUAUACUAACGGAUCUUACCGAGUUUUCUGUUGAAGUUUUGUGUGGAUGAAGUGUUCGAUGAUCGAGAAGGUCUCGAUGUGAGAAGAAGGAAGAGAGGAAAGAGCUCAAGCUUGGGGAUGCCUGAGGUACCCCAAGUAAAUAUUCAAGCAGACUCAAGCAUCUAAGCUUGGGGAUGCUGGGGAGGCAUCCCCUCUUUCUUCAACAAAUAUCGAUAUGUUUUCGGAUUCGUUUCGUUCAUGCGAUAUGUGCAAGUCUUGGAGCGUCUUUUGCAUUUAGGUUUUUCUUUUUCUUUUUAUGCACCAUGCUGGUAUGAGAUAGUCCUUGGUUGAUUUAUAGAAUGCUCUUUGCACUUCACUUAUAUCUUUUGAGUAUGGCUUUAUAGAAUGCUUCAUGUGCUUCACUUAUAUCAUUUGAAGUUUGGAUUGCCUGUUUCUCUUCACUUAGACAACCACCAUUUGUAGAAUGCUCUUUUGCUUCACUUAUAUUUGUUAGAGCGUGGGCAUAUAUUUUGUAGAAAGAAUUGAACUCUCUUGCUUCACUUAUAUCUAUUUAGAGAGAUGACAUGAAUUGGUCAUUCACAUGGUUAGUCAUACAAUCCUACAUAAAACUUGUAGAUCACUGAAUAUGAUAUGUUUGAUUCCUUGCAAUAGUUUUGCGAUAUAAAGAUGGUGAUAUUAAAGUCAUGCUAGUGGGUAAUUGUGGAUUGUAGAAAUACUUCUGUUGAGGUUUGUGAUUCCCGUAGCAUGCACGUAUGGUGAACCGUUAUGUAACGAAGUCGGAGCAUGAUUUAUUUAUUGAUUGUCUUCCUUAUGAGUGGCGGUCGGGGACGAGCGAUGGUAUUUUCCUACCAAUCUAUCCCCUAGGAGCAUGCGCAUAGUACUUUGUUUCGAUGAAUAAUAGAUUUUUGCAAUAAGUAUGUGAGUUCUUUAUGACUAAUAUUGAGUCCAUGGAUUAUACGCACUCUCACCCUUCCACCAUUGCUAGCCUCUCUAGUACUGCGCAACUUUCGCCGGUACCAUAAACCCACCAUAUACCUUCUUCAAAACAGCCACCAUACCUACCUAUCAUGGCAUUUCCAUAGCCAUUCCGAGAUAUAUUGCCAUGCAACUUCCAUCAUCAUCAUAUACAUGACUUAAGCAUUUAUUGUCAUAUUGCUUUGCAUGAUCGUAAGAUAGCUAGCAUGAUGUUUUCAUGGAUUGUCCAUUUUUUGAUGUCAUUGCUACGCUAGAUCAUUGCACAUCACGGUACACUGCCGGAGGCAUUCAUAUAGAGUCAUACUUUGUUCUAGACAUUGAGUUGUAAGUAAAUAAAAGUGUGAUGAUCAUCAUUAUUAGAGCAUUGCCCCAGUGAGGAAAGGAUGAUGGAGACUAUGAUUCCCCCAUAAGUCGGGAUGAGACUCCAGACUUUAAAAAAAAGAGGCCAAAGAAGCCCAAAUAAAAAAGAGGCCAAAGAAUCCCACCAAAAAAAAUAAUAAAUAAAAUGAGAGAAAAAGAGAGAAGGUGCAAUGUUACUAUCCUUUUACCACACUUGUUCUUCAAAGUAGCACCAUGUUCUUCAUAUAGAGAGUCUCUUGAGUUAUCACUUUCAUAUACUAGUGGGAAUUUUCAUUAUGGAACUUGGCUUGUAUAUUCCGAUGAUGGGCUUCCUCAAAUUCCUGAGGUCUUCAUGAGCAAGCAAGUUGGAUGCACACCCACUUAGUUUCAGUUGGAGCUUUCAUACACUUAUAGCUCUAGUGCAUCCGUUGCAUGGCAAUCCCAACUCACUCACAUUGAUAUAUAUUGAUGGGCAUCUCCAUAGCCCGUUGAUACGCCUAGUUGAUGUGAGACUUUCUCCUUUUUUGUAUUCUCCACAUAACCCCCACCAUCAUAUUCUAUUCCACCUAUAGUGCUAUGUCCAUGGCUCACGCUCAUGUAUUGCGUGAAAGUUGAAAAGGUUUGAGAACGUCAAAAGUAUGAAACAAUUGCUUGACUUGUCAUCGGGGUUGUGCAUGAUGUGAAUGCUUUGUGUGGUGAAGAUGGAGCAUAGCCAGACUAUAUGAUUUUGUAGGGAUGAGCUUUCUUUGGCUAUGUUAUUUCAAUAAGACAUAAUUGCUUGGUUGGUAUGCUUGAAAUAUUAUUGUCUUUAUGUCAAAGGAUAGAUUAUUGCUUUGAAUCACUCGUGUCUUAAUAUUCAUGCCAUGAUUAGACAUAUGAUCAAGAUUAUGCUAGGUAGCAUUCCACAUCAAAAAUUAUCUUUUUUAUCAUUUACCUACUCGAGGACGAGCAGGAAUUAAGCUUGGGGAUGCUGAUACGUCUCCGUCGUAUCUAUAAUUUUUGAUUGUUCCAUGCCAAUAUUAUUCAACUUUCAUAUACUUUCUGGCAACUUUUUAUAUUAUUUUUGGGACUAACAUAUUGAUCCAGUGCCAAGUGCCAGUUCCUGUCUGUUGCAUGUUUUUGGUUUCGCAGAAUAUCCAUAUCAAACGGAGUCCAAACGGGAUAAAAACGGACAGAGCUUAUUUUUGGAAAAUAUGGAAAAUUCGGAAGGAAAAUCAACGCGAACCAGUGCCCGAGGUGGUCACGAGGCAGGGGGCGCGCCCCUACCCUCGUGAGCCCACCGUAAGGUGGUUGACGCUCUUCUUUUGCCGCAAGAAAGCUAAUAUUCAGAAGAAAAAAAUCACGACGAAGGUUUCAGGCCAAUCGGAGUUAUGGAUCUCCAUAUAUAUACGAAACGGUGAAACAGAGCCAGAACAGAACGCAGAACCAGAGAGAAACAGAGAGAUAGAUCCAAUCUCGGAGGGGCUCUCGCCUCUCCCAUGCCAUGGAGGCCAAGGACCAGAGGGGAAACCCUUCUCCCAUCUAGGGAGGAGGUCAAGGAAGAAGAGGAAGAAGGGGGCCCCUCUCCCCCUCUCCUCCGGUGGCGCCGGAACGCCAUCGUGGCCAUCAUCAUCAUCACCAGGAUCUUCACCAACACCUCCGCCAUCUUCACCAACAUCUCCAUCACCUUCCCCCCUCUAUCUACAGCGGUCCACUCUCCCGCAACCCGUUGUACCCUCUACUUGAACAUGCUGCUUUAUACUUCAUAUUAUUAUCCAAUGAUGUGUUGUCAUCCUAUGAUGUCUGAGUAGAUUUUCGUUGUCCUAUCGGUGGUUGAUGAAUUGUUAUGAUUGAUUUAAUUUGCUUGUGGUUAUGUUGUUGUCCUUUGGUGCCCAUCAUAUGAGCACGCACGUGGAUCACACCAUAGGGUUAGUUGUAUGUUGAUAGGACUAUGUAUUGGAGGGCAAGAGUGACAGAAGCUUCAACCUAGCAUAGAAAUUGAUGCAUACGGGAUUGAAGGGGGACCAAUAUAUCUUAAUGCUAUGGUUGGGUUUUACCUUAAUGAACGUUAGUAGUUGCGGAUGCUUGCUAAUAGUUCCAAUCAUAAGUGCAUAGAAUUCCAAGUAAGGGAUAACAUGCUAGCAGUGGCCUCUCCCACAUAAUACUUGCUAUCGGUCUAGUAAAGUAGUCAAUUGCUUAAGGGACAAUUUCGCAACUCCUACCACCACUUUUCCACACUCGCUAUAUUUACUUUAGUUGCUUCUUUACCUUAACAGCCCCUAGUUUUAUUUUCGUGCUCUUAAUUAUCUUGCAAACCUAUCCAACAACACCUACAAAGUACUUCUAGUUUCAUACUUGUUCUAGGUAAAGCGAACGUCAAGCGUGCGUAGAGUUGUAUGGGUGGUCGAUAGAACUCGAGGGAAUAUUUGUUCUACCUUUAGCUCCUCGUUGGGUUCGACACUCUUAGUUAUCGAAAACUGUUGCGAUCCCCUAUACUUGUGGGUUAUCAUCUCUCACUAAAUUUCAAGGUAUAAGUGUUCUCCCUGAGUAUGCACCGUUGCUACAGUUCGUCGUGCUGAGACACCACAUGAUGAUCGGGUGUGAUAAGCUCUACGUUCACAUACAAUGGGUGCAAGCCAGUUUUGCACAUGCAGAAUACUCUGGUUAAACUUGACGAGCCUAGCAUAUGCAGAUAUGGCCUCGGAACACUGAGACCGAAAGGUCGAGCGUGAAUCAUAUAGUAGAUAUGAUCAACAUAGUGAUGUUCACCAUUGAAAACUACUCCAUCUCACGUGAUGAUCGGACAUAGUUUAGUUGAUAUGGCUCACAUGAUCACUUAGAUGAUUAGAGGGAUGUCUAUCUAAGUGGGAGUUCUUAAGUAAUAUGAUUAAUUGAACUUAAAUUUAUCAUGAACUUAGUCAUGAUAGUAUUUGCAUAUCUAUGUUGUAGAUCAAUUGGUCGUGUAUAGCUUCCCCAUUUUAUUUAUGAUAUGUUCCUAGAGAAACUAUGUUGAAAGAUGAUAGUAUCAAUGAUGCGGAUUGGAUCCAUGAUCUGAGGAUUAUCCUCGUUGCUGCAUAGAAGAAUUAUGUCCUUGAUGCACCGCUAGGUGACAUAACUAUUGCAGGAGCAAAUGCAGACAUUAUGAAUGUUUGACAAAGCUCGGUAUGAUAUCUACUUAAUACUUUAGUGCACCAUGCUUUACGGCUUAGAACCGGGACUUCAAAAAUGCUUUUGAACGCCACAGAGCAUAUAAGAUGUUCUAAGAGUUGAAAUUGGUAUUUCAUACUCAUGCCCGUGUCAAGAGGUAGAAGACCUCUGAUAGUACUUUGCCUACAAGAUGGAGGAGAAUAGCUCAACCAGUGAGCAUGUGCUUAGAUUGUCUGGGUACUUCAAUUGCUUGAAUCAAGUGGGAGUUAAUCUUCCAGAUAAUAUAGUAAUUGACAAAGUUCUCUAGUCACUAUCACCAAGUUACUAGAACUUAGUGAUGAACUAUAAUAUGCAAGGGAUGACGAAAGUAAUUCCCAAGCUCUUCGCGAUGCUGAAAUCGGCGAAGGUAGAAAUCAAGAAAUAGCAUCAAGUGUUGAUGGUUAACAAGACCACUAGUUUCAACAAAAGGGCAAAGGGAAAGAAAGAGGAACUUCAAAGAAGAAUAACAAGCAAGUUGUUGUUCCCAUGAAGAAGCUCAAAGCUAGACCCAAGCCUGGAACUGAGUGCUUCUACUGCAAAGGAAAUGGUCACUGGAAGUGGAACUGCCCUAGAUACUUGGCGGAUAAGAAGGAUGGUAAAGUGAAAAAAGUAUAUUUGAUAUACAUGUUAUUGAUGUGUACUUUACUAGUGUUUAUAUAAACCCCUCAGUAUUUGAUACUGGUUUAGUUACUAAGAGUAGUAACUCGAAACGAGAGUUGCAAAAUAAACAGAGACUAGUUAAGGGCGAGGUGAUGAUGUGAGUUGGAAGUGAUUCCAAGGUUGAUAAGAUCACCAUCGCACACUCCCUUUACCUUCGGGAUUAGUGUUGAGCCGAAAAUAAAUGUUAUUUGUUGUUUACAUAUAGCAUAAUAUGAUUGGAUCAUGUUUAUUGCAAUACGGUUGUUCAUUUAAGUCAAGGAUAAUUGUUAUUCUGUUUACAUGAAUAAAACCUUCUGAGGUCAUACACCCAAGGUGAAUGGUUUAUUGAAUCUCGAUCGUAGUAAUACACAUAUUCAUAAUAUUGAAGCCAAAAGAUGCAAAGUUGAUAAUGAUAGUGCAACAAUUUUUUGUGGCACUACCGUUUAGGUCAUAUUGGUGUAAAGCACAUGAAGAAACUCCGUGCUGAUGGGCCUCACUUGAUUAUGAAUCAUUUGAUGCUUGCGAACCAUGCCUCAUGGGCAAUAUGACUAAAACUCCGUUCUCCGGAACAAUGGAGCAAGCAACUGACUUAUUGGAAACAAUACAUACUGAUGUAUGCAAUCCGAUGAGUGUUGAGGCUUGCGGCGGGUAUCAUUAUUUUCUGAUCUUCAUAGAUGAUUUGAGCAGAUAUGGGUAUAUCUACUUGAUAAAACAUAAGUCUGAAACAUUUGAAAAGAUCAAAGAAUUUCAUAGUGAAGUGGAAAAUCAUCGUAACAAGGAAAUAAAGUUUCUACGAUCUGAUCGUGGAGGAGAAUAUUUGAGUUACGAGUUUGGUCUUCAUUUGAAACAAUGCGGAAUAGUUUCGCAACUCACGCCACCUGGAACACCACAGUGUAAUGGUGUGUCCGAAUGUCAUAACCGUACUUUAUUAGAUAUGGUGCGAUCUAUGAUGUCUCUGACCAAUUUAUCACUAUCGUUUUGGGGUUAUGCAUUAGAGACAGUUACAUUCAUGUUAAAUAGGACACCAUCUAAAUCCGUUGAGACGACACAAUAUGAACUGUGGUUUGGCAAGAAACCUAAGCUGUCGUUUCUUAAAGUUUGGGGCUAUGAUGCUUAUGUGAAAAAGUUUCAACCUGAUAAGCUCGAACCCAAAUCGGAGAAAUGCGUCUUCAUAGGAUACCCAAAGGAAACUGUUGGGUACACCUUCUAUCACAGAUCCGAAGGCAAGAUAUUCAUUGCUAAGAAUGGAUCCUUUCUAGAGAAGAAGUUUCUCUCGAAAGAAGUGAGUGGGAGGAAAGUAGAACUUGACGAGGUAAUUGCACCAUCUCCCUUAUUGGAAAGUAGUUCAUCACUGAAAUCAGUUCCAGUGAUUCCUACACCAUUAAGUUAGGAAGCUAAUGAUGAUGAUCAUGAAACUUCUGAUCAAGUUACUACCGAACCUCGUAGGUCACUCAGAGUAAGAUACACACCAGAGUGGUACGGUAAUCCUGUUCUGGAAGUCAUGUUACUUGACCAUGACGAACCUACGAACUAUGAGGAAGCGAUGAUGAGCCCAGGUUCUGCAAAAUGGCUUGAGGCCAUGAAAUCUGAGAUGUGAUCCAUGUAUGAGAACAAAGUAUGGACUUUGAUUGACUUGCUCGAUGAUCGGUGAGCCAUUCAGAAUAAAUGGAUCUUCAAGAGGAAGACGGACGCUGAUAGUAGUGUUACUAUCUACAAAGAUCGAAUUGUCGCAAAAGGUUUUCGACAAGUUCAAGGUGUUGACUACGAUGAGAUUUUCUCACUCGUAUCGAUGUUUAAAAGUCUGUCCGAAUCAUGUUAGCAGUUGUCGCAUUUUAUGAAAUCUGGCAAAUGGAAAUCAAAACUACAUUCCUUAAUGGAUUUAUUAAAAAAGAGUUGUAUAUGAUGCAACCAGAUGGUUUUGUCAAUUCUAAAGGUGUUAACAAAGUGUGCAAGCUCCAGCGAUCCAUCUAUGGACUGGUGCAAGCAUCUCGGCGUUGGAACAUACGCUUUGAUGAGUUGAUCAAAGCAUAUAGUUUUAUACAGACUUGCGGUGAAGCCUGUAUUUAGAAGAAAGUGAGUGGGAGCACUACAACCUUUCUGAUAAGUAUAUGUGAAUGACAUAUUGUUGAUCAGAAAUGAUGUAGAAUUUUCUGGAAAACAUAAAGGAGAAUUUGAAAGGAGUUUUUCAAAGAAAGAAUUACCUGUAAAGCUACUUACAUAUUGGGCAUCAAGAUCUAUAAAGAUAGAUCAAGACGCUUGAUAAGACUUUCAAUGAGUACAUACCUUGAUAAUAUUUUGAAGGAGUUCAAAAUGGAUAAGUUAAAGAAGGAGUUCUUGCCUGAGUUGUAAGGUGUGAAAUUGAGUAAAGACUCAAAACCCGACCACGGCAGAAAAUAGAAAGAGAAUGAAAAGUCAUUCCCUAUGCCUCAGUCAUAGGUUCUAUAAAGUAUGCUAUGCUAUGUACCAAACCUAUUAUAUACCUUAGCAUAAUUUUGGCAAGGGAGUACAAUAGUGAUCUAGGAGUAGAUCACUAGACAACGGUCAAAAUUAUCCUUAGAGGACUAAGGAAUAUUUCUCUGAUAUGGAGGUGAUAAAAGAGUUCGUCGUAAAGAGUUACGUCGAUGCAAGAUUUUUACAUCGAUCUAGAUGACUCUAAGUCUCGAUCUGGAUACAUAUUGAAAGUGGGAGCAAUUAGCUAGAGUAGAUCCGUGCAGAGUAUUAUAGACAUAGAAAUUUGUGAAAUACAUAUGGAUCUGAAUGUUGCAGACCCGUAGACUAAACUUCUCUCACAAGCAAAACAUGAUCACUCUUUGGGUAUUAAUCACAUAGAGAUGUGAACUAGAUUAUUGACUCUAGUAAACCCUUUGGGUAUUAGUCACAUGAAGAUGUGAACUAAUCACAUAAAGAUGUGAAUUAUUGGUGUGAAAUCACAUGACGAUAUGAACUAGAUUAUUGACUCCAGUGCAAGUGGGAGACUGAAGGAAAUAGGCCCUAGAGGCAAUAAUAAAGUUGUUAUUUAUAUUUCCUUAUAUCAUGAUAAAUUUUUAUUAUUCAUGCUAGAAUUGUAUUAACCGGAAACUCAGUACAUGUGUGAAUACAUAGACAAACUGAGUGUCACUAGUAUGCCUCUACUUGACUAGCUCAUUAAUCAAAGAUGGUUAAGUUUCCUAGCCAUGGACAAAGAGUUGUCAUUUGAUUAAUGGGAGCACAUCAUUAGAGAAUGAUGUGAUUGACUUGACCCAUCCGUUAGCUUAGCAUGAUGAUCGUUUAGUUUGUUGCUAUUCCUUUCUUCAUAUAACUUAUACAUGUUCCUAUGACUAUGAGAUUAUGCAACUCCCGAAUACCGGAGGAACACUUAGUGUGCUAUCAAACAUCACAACGUAACUGGGUGAUUAUAAAUAUGCUCCAUAGGUGUCUCCGAUGGUGUCUGUUGAUUUGGCAUAGAUCGAGAUUAGGAUUUGUCACUCCGAUUAUCGAAGAGGUAUCUCUGGGCCCUCUCGGUAGUGCUCAUCACUAUAAGCCUUGCAAGCAAUGUGACUAUAAAGAGUUAGUUACGGGAUGAUGCAUUACAGAACGAGUAAUGAGACUUGCCGGUAAUGAGAUUGAACUAGGUAUUGAGAUACCGCCGAUUGAAUCUCGGGCAAGUAACAUACCGAUGACAAAGGGAACAAUGUAUAUCGUUAUGCGGUUUGACCGAGAAAGAUCUUCGUAGAAUAUGUGGGAGAUAAUAUGAACAUCCAGGUUCCGCUAUUGGUUAUUGACCAGAGACGUGUGUCGGUCAUGUCUACAUAGUUCUCGAACCCGUAGGGUCCGCACGCUUAACGUUCAGUGACGAUUGGUAUUAUGAGUUUAUGUGUCUUGAUGUACCGAAGGUAGUUCGGUGUCCCGGAUGUGAUCAUGGACAUGAUGAGGAGUUUUGAAAUGGUCGAGACAUAAAGAUUGAUAUAUUGGAUGAAUAUAUUCGGACACCGGAUGAGUUCCGGGGGUCACCGGAUAAUUAUCGGAGUGCCGGGGGGUUAUCAGAACCCCCCGGGGAACUAAUGGGCCAACAUGGGCCUUGUGUGUGAGAAAGGAGGGGCCAUAGUGCUGGCCGUGUGCCCCCUCCUUGGGAGUCCGAAUUGGACAAGGAGGGGGGGGGGCCCUCUUUCCCUCACUCUCUCCUUCUCCUUCCUCCCCCUCCCUCCUCCUAGUUGGACUAGGAAAGGGGGAGUCCUACUCCUACUAGGAGGAGGACUCCCCCCCCUCGUUGGCGCGCCCCAUGGCCGGCCUCCCCCUUGCUCCUUUAUAUACGAGGGCAGGGGGCACCCUAGAACACACAAGUUGAUCGUUGAUCCCUUAGCCGUGUGCAGUGCCCCCUCCACCAUAAUCCACCUCGGUCAUAUCAUCGUAGUGCUUAGGCAAAGCCCUGCGAUGGUAGCUUCAUCAGCACCGUCAUCACGCCGUGGUACUGACGAAGCUCUCCCUCGACACUCGGCUGGAUCGAGAGUUUGUGGGAUGUCACUGAGCCAAAAGUGUGCAGAUUGCGGAGGUGCCAUACUUUCGGUACUAGGAUCAGUCGGAUCGUGAAGACAUAUGACUACAUCAACCGCGUUGUCAUAAUGCUUCCGCUUACGGUCUACGAGGGUAUGUGGACAACACUCUUCCCCUCUCGUUGCUAUGUAUCACCAUGAUAGAUCUUGCAUGUGCGUAGGAUUUUUUUGAAAUUACUGCGUUCCCCAAUAGGGUGUGCUAGUCUCCUUUGUGUACCCAAAUUAUGCAAUGACGCGGAUGACCACUGUAACCAGGGAAAUUCGAACCAAAAUUUUUGACGUUCAAACUCAUCACACAUGGGUUAAGCUAUCUGAAUCGUUUGUGAUGUUCAUAUAUCGUACACAGUUCUGAAUAAUGGACCGCGUCUGAUGACACUUUGCACGCUAGUUUUUUCACUGAAGCGAUUCCAAAAUUUCGGCUUCCGCGGAAAUAUCUACCUCCCCGCCCCUCCCCCUUGCCAAAAGCCACAUUUCCCCUGUUUCCGCCUUCCUUUACAAGUUGAAACCUUCACUCCUUGCUUGCAGCACCGCCUCCUCGCUGGUGACCCUCCUUCACGCUACUCAGCCUCGCCUAUCCGGGCAGGUAAACCACACCCGACCCCAUCUUCCUCCUCCUUCCACAUCCCACUUGCCCCGACCACCGGCGCGACACCUUCCACCCAAAUCACCAACCCCUCCACCAAAUAAGUGCCGCCCUAAGCCAUGGUGCGCAUAAUAUAUCCAGGAUCUCAAGGAGCAUUUGGCAGCGGAGAAGUAAAUCAUGGCCGCACACGCGGAUGAGGUCGCGAUGGCUUCCAUUCGUGUCGACCCCCAGAUCUUGGAGGAGCACUUCACCGUUGAUGCCACCAUCGACGCCUUGCAUGUCGAUGACGCAGCGCGGUUGGCUGUUUGGUUCAAUUCUACAAUGUGAUGUUCAAUUAUUAUGGGUGCAUUCUGUUAUUGUAUACCAUGUGAGAAAUAAAUUGAAUUUGGCUGUACUAAAUACAUGAUAAACAAAUACAAUUGCUAUAUUUCCAAGUUGUUAAGCAUGCUUGGUUUGAUUAAUUGUCUAAUCUUCUAUUAUGAGUAUGUUAUAUUGUGCAAUGUGGUGCUCAGUUAACGUUUGGUUCAUUUGUUGUGGUGUUUAACUGUUUUGUUUGGUUCAAUUCUGCAGUGCAUGCGAUGCUCAAUUGUUAUGGGUGCAUUUUAUUAUUGUAUACCAUGCGAGGAAUAAAUUGAAUUUGGCUGUACUAAAUACAUGAGAAACAAAUACAAUUGCUAUAUUUCCAAGUUGUUAAGCGUGCUUGGUUUGGUUAAUUGUCUGAUCUUCUAUUAGGAGUAUGUUAUAUUGUGCAAUGUGGUGCUCAGUUAAUGUUUGGUUCAUUUGUUGUGGUGUUUAGUUAACUGCUUGGUUCAAUUCUGCAAUGCAGUGUCCAAUUGUCGUGGGUAGAAUUUUGUAUUGUUGUGCAAGUGAGGAAUAAAUCGAAUUUGGCUGCACUUAAUACAUGAGAAACAUAUACAAGUGCUAUAUUUCCUAGUUCUUAAUCAUGCUUGGUUUGGAUAAAUGGGUUUUCCAUGUGGCUUGAAUUAAUCUAAUGAAUUUGCAAUGUUCUUAUUUUUCAUCAACAUGUUUUAUUGAUAGCAUGUGAACCCUUACUUAAGCUGAUGACUAACUACCUUAUAUGCGUUGUAGGGAAACAAUGGGGAGCACUGAGGUUUACAAUCGAGGUUAGCACGUGCAUGGUCCGUUGUCUAAUAGCACAUUAUUGUGCAAUUGCAGGAACCUUUCUAAUAUUUAGUUUUUUAACAAUUUGGUCUUGCACAUGUAGGUCCUGCUGUCAGAGGUUUUGACCCACUGUUCGACCCCUUUUGCAUAUGGGUAAAUGAGUUGUACAUCAAUAUUAGUCAAGUCAAGAAACUUAGAGAGGUUGUUAGGAUAAAGAAAUUAGCGACAAAAAACAACAAGAUCUUUGUCUGCACAAUGAAGAAGACAUCAGUUCACUACAGGAUGGUACUAACUAUUAUACCUUGCCUUUUUAUUCCUUUGCCCCAUUUCCAAUAUAGAGAAGAUAUUUAUGCACAUCCUUGUUUUCAAGCCUUUCCAAAGCAGUUCACUAAUGAUUACCUCUCAAACCACCUGUAUGGUCAGGAGGCGAGGAAGGUAUUCAUACAACACCCACAGUUCAAUAUUGAAGUGUUCCUGAAGAGGACGGAGGAUCGACGGUCAAUCAUCCACAUGCACUGGCUUAAAGUUACAAAGACCUUCAACAUCAAUGAAGGCUCAAUAUUCGCCUUCUGCUUCAGCAGUUUUCCAGAUGAGAUACAUCUGUCUAUGUACCAUCUAUGAUGCUAAUUUCGAAAGGUUAUAGAUGUUGCACGUGAAACUUGGUGCUGGUGUAGUUGUGUAAUGGGGUAGCUGAGUCCUGAAGCUAUAUGAUGUUGUACUCUGAUGUAUUUCAAUUAUGAAAAUGAAAUAUAUUGUGUGCUUAAUAUGAAAUGUCAAUUAGAUUAAUAAAUGGAUUAUUAAUAAUCAGAUAAUUAGCCUGCUAAUUGGGUUUUUCUAUUGCAAACAAUUAUUGAGAAAACACCAUGUGUGAUGCAUUCAAUAACGCACACAAUUUCUAGGAGUAAACCGUGUUGGAUCAAUGAAUAAUCACACACGACCUUCUCUUGAAAACUGUUUGCAUUAGGCCACCUUGCGCAAACGUUUACGACAUAAAAACUGUGUGUGAUGGACAACCUUUGCCACACAGUUUUUUCUACGCACCAUGUGUGAUGCAUUCAAUAACGCAAAUGAUAAAAUUGUCAAUAUCGUGUGCAAUGGCAACACUAUCACAAACGAUUUAAAGAGGAAAAUUGUAUGUGAUGUACCUGUGAACGGAAACGUUUUCCUUGAAGCGACUAUGUGGGAUGUACAUACAAACAGAAACGUUUAGCGGGAAUUGACUGUGUGGGAUGUACUUGCGAUCAAAAACAAUUUCGCCUGUAUAAUUGUAUUUUUUUAGCUCUAUUGUACGUAUUUCCGUACUUGAGCGCUCGCCGGUCGCACACGAACUCAUUUUGCCGAGCAUGUGUGCCAGGAGGGCAUAUACCCGAUGGUUUUUGGGUCGUGUGGGAAGGACCCCCCUAUCGCCGUCACUUACUAGGUAACGGUUCCAAAUGCCGUCGCGGAAAGGGGUUAAAAACCGUUUGUAUAGCACCUCGCUGUACUAGUGACUAGUAAUGAGACUUCUCCCACGUCCUCAAGAACAAGUAGAACUACUCACAACUCAUCAUAUUGAUCAUGAUCAAUGGUUAUAAAUAUAUGUUUAACAAUCUUAACAUAACAAUAUUCCACCAUUUAAACCAACUAGCAUCAACUACGAGAUGUAAUCAACACUACUAGCACCCCCAGGUACCAAUCUGAGGUUUGAUACAAAGAUUAAGAAUGAAAGAUGAACUAGAGUUUUGAGAUGAGAUGGUGAUGAUGAAGAUGAUGAUCCCAUGAUGAAAGGAGUGUUGGUGAUGAUGAAGGCUUCGAUUUCCCCUUCCCGGAGGAAAGUUUCCCCUGCAAAAUUGCUCCAUCGAAGAGCAAAAGUGUGUCGCCUCGCAGAUGGCGGCGGAAAGUCCUCAGAAUUUUGUUUGAUUUCGUCAAGGGUAAAUGGAAUUGAUGGCCAAAGGGCAUCGGGAGGCGAGGCACCAUGGCCCCAAAUGGGCAGGGGUGCAGCUAGGGGGUAGGCCGCGCCACCUGUCCAUGUGGCUGCCUAGUGGGUCCCUAAUAACCCACAAGUAUAGGGGAUCGCGACAGUUUUUGAGGGUAGAGUAUUCAACCCAAAUUUAUUGAUUCGACACAAGGGGAGCCAAAGAAUAUUUGUAGGUAUUAGCAGUUGAGUUGUCAAUUCAACCACACCUGAAAGACAUAAUAUCCGCAGCAAAAAAAUUAGUAGCAAAGUAGUAUGAUAGUAACGGUAACAAUGGCAAUAGUAGCAGUAGCAGUUUUGUAGUGAUUGUAGGAGUAGCAGCAAUGAAAGUAACUUAGCAAAGAUCAAUAUGUGAAAAGCUCGUAGGCAUUGGAUCAGCGAUGGAUAAUUGUGUUGGAUAAUAUUCAUGAUGUAGCAGUCAUAACCUAGGGCAACACAGAACUAGCUCCAACUCAUCAAUGUAAUGUAAGCAUGUAUUCCGUAUAUAGUCAUACGUGCUUAUGGAAACAAACUUGCAUGACAUCUUUUGUCCUACCCUCUGAUGACCCACAAGUAUAGGGGAUCAAUUGUAUAUCUUUUCGAUAAGUAAGAGUGUUGAACCCAAUGAGGAGCAGAAGGAAAUGACAAGUGGUUUUCCGUAAGGUAAUGUCUGCAAGUGUUGAAAUUGUAAGUAGCAGAGUAGUUUGAUAGCAAGGUAAUUUGUAACGAGCAAGUAACGAUAGUAGUAACAAAAUUGCAGCAAGGUAGCCCAAUCCUUUUGAGGCAAAGGACAGGCCAAAAUGGUCUCUUAUGAUAAGCAAAGCAUUCUUAAGGGUACACGGGAAUUUCAUCUAGCCACUUUCAUCAUGUUAGCUUAAUUCGUGUUUGGUACUUUGAUAAUUUGAUAUAUGGGUGGACCGGUGCUUAGGUGAUGUUCUUACUUGAACAAACCUCCUACUUAUGAUUAACCCUCCCGCAAGCGUCCGCAACUACGAGAAAAGUAUUAAGAAUAAAUUCUAACCAUAGCAUUAAACUUUAUGUUCAGGCCAAUAGAUGCGCUCGGGCUGAAGAAGGGAGGAAGUACCCCGGCAAAUAUGCCGGCGUGGAAACUGAUUCCACAGAGGAAGAUGCCGUCGCCCCAGCAAAGAAGGGCCGACGCUACAAUAGGAAGCGUAAGGGCAAGACCGUGCUUGCCGUCGAGGGAUCCAGCGACCCCGGCGCCGCUAAGAAGGCCAAGGUUGAUGACUCCAACAAAGAAGUUGCUGGGUGCGCCGCCUGCCGAGCCUUGGCGGCUGCCGACAAGCUGGGAGGCUCCGACAAGCAGUACUGCAAGAUCCACUGCACCAAGGGCCAUGACCUCCAGAAUUGUCGGUAGGUUGAGCUGCUUGCAGAGAAGCAGAAAGCUGAGUAUGAGAGGCGCGAUAAGGAGAAGGGCCAAGAUGGUGCUGAGGCGUCCGGCAAGAAGCGUGGCGGUCGAGGAGGUCACCGCGACAAAGACAAUCAACAAGAGAGGCCCACUCGGGGCCACAACAAGAAGGAGGGAGACGAUGAUCAUGAUGAGGACGACGAGUCCGGCGAGCAUGAGUUCCAAAAAGCUACGAAGGCCAUGUGCGUCGACGGUGGCGCCUCAUUGCACACCUCUCACCGCCAACUGAAGCAGUGGGCGCAUGAAGUCACUGCAGAGGAGCCAUCGUUCGAUGCCUAGAGGUUGCUAAAGUGGUCCAACACGCCUAUCAUUUUUGACACCGAGGAUCACCCUGAUCGCACAACUGCGGUUGGGUAUUUGCUGUUGUUGGUUUCACCAACAAUAUGCAACCUCAAGGUGACGAAAGUGCUAGUUGACAGUGGGGCCGGUCUGAACUUGAUCUCGCCCGCCGUGAUCGAGAGGCUGCAAAUCCUCGAUGGAGAUCUCUAGGAGACGGAAGCGUCCCAAGGGGUCAACCCAGGGAGGAGUCAGUCGAAGGGUAAGAUCACAUUGCCCGUUACAUUUGGGGGCGAGUUGAACCAUAGGACGGAGAAGGUUGUUUUUUAUGUUGCCAAGAUCCCCUUGCCCUAUAAUGGGAUCCACGGCCGCCCAGCGCUGGCCAAGUUUAUGGCGGCAUCACAUUACGCCUACAACACGUCGAAAAUGCCCGAGCCAAUGAGCAUCAUCAUCGUCCCCUCCGCUAGGAAAGAUGCGCUCAUCUGCGCCGGCCAGCUUUACCGGGAGGCAGUUGCAGCGGCUGCCGCCAAGGCACCUGUUCCCGCCACUGAGACCCUGGGAGGGAAGAAAACCGGCAAGAUCUCUACUCCUGCCGGCAAGGCCCCUUUCGGCAAGACUGCUGACCCCAGCAAGGACUCCUACGCCCCCUCCCGCAAACACGCCUCUUCGGAGUGCCGUGUUCCCAUUGAGGACAUGCCAGGAAGUUCAGCUAGCGGGAGUAAGAGGUCCAAGGCAGCCCCACCAGAAACCAAGAAGGUUCCCGUCAGAGAGGAUGGCACGGGUGGAGCUUUUACCAUAAGCUCCACCCUUGAAAGCAAAUAGGAAAGUGUGUUCAUCACCUUCCUGCGGGUGAAUAUUGACGUGUUUGCACGACAAGCAUCCGACAUCCCCGGCGUUCCCAGGGAGGUGAUUGAGCACCACCUUGUUGUCUGUCCCCAUGUGUGGCCUGUCAAGCAGAAGGUCAGGAAGCAAGCUUUGGAGCGACAAUGGUUCAUCAUCGAGGAGAUCAGGAAGUUGGAGGCAACAAGCUUGGUCAGAGGAGUUCUCCACCCCACGUGGUUGGCCAAUCCAGUGAUGGUGCAUAAGGCAAAUGGGAAAUGGAGGCUGUGUAUUGACUAUACAGAUAUCAAUAAAGCAUGUCCAAAGGAUCCUUUCCCUCUACCACACAUUGACCAGAUAGUGGACUCCACUGCCGGGUGCGACCUGCUGUCGUUCCUUGAUGCCUACUCAGGAUACCACCAGAUCUUCAUGAUGAAGGAAGACAAAGAAAAAA